UGCAUUUUCUCUAAUCUCAGGUCCUUCUUCUUCCUCUUUUAGUUAUUUCCUUUUCAACCGAUCAUUUUCUCUUCUCUUCAGUGUAUCCAAACUGGCCAGUGUGACAUACCUUUCUCCAAAAAAAAAAGGUGCUACAGAGACCAAUUAGUAAGUUGAUCAACUGACCAAUUAGUAAGGUGCUAUAGAAAUCAUUACAAGAAAGGUUCUGAAAGACAACUGAUUAAUGAUCUUGCAGAGUGAUAAGCUUACCUGCACACAGACCUAAUCGCCACGGAGGAAGUUGUGAAGCCGGUUCAUUUUGCAUGUGCACGCAGUUAUCCCAAAAUGCAUCAAAUGUUGUAAAAGCAUGUCCAUCAUCACCAUGUACUUCCCAUGGUUCAUAUAACAACUCUCCAUUAUAACUUUGCACAGAAAUGCCGAGCUCCCCUAAUUUCUGCUUAAUAUCAUGAUCACGAACCAGCGAGACAGGAUCUGAGAACAAAGAGUGAACAGAAAAUAAAAGACCAAUUUAAGUAUUCAACUAAAGAGUCCUGCCUAUAAAAAUCAAGCAGAAAUAUGAAUUAUCUCUAAGGGAUCUCCAUAAUGGAGACUGGAACCACAAAACAUUAAUGCCCAGGCUGCAAUUAAAACUCUAGCUUGUAUUCUACAUCAUUGAAUCAGGGGGUGACACAGAAGAUUCUAACAGCAUAAAGCAGAUGUAUCUAAUCAGGAAAGAUACAAUCUCCAAGGCAGAAAAUAUACAUAUAGUGCUGUUGAAAAAGGUUACCUUGUCGAUGGAUGGUUACUACUAUACUGCAACCACUUGGGAGCCACGGUACUAAUAGGCCAUGUGAAAUUCUUAAAAAGUUAAUAACCAGUAUGCAAAUUCUGAAAUCAAGAGAACUUAAGAAUUUUUUUGGUUCAAAAAAUUAUCAAAACUCACACUUAAAAGAAAGAAAUAAAGUGAAGAACUUUAUGCCAAAUGGAAGGCAACUUCUUUGACUUAGAAAACCAUAAAUCAGAAUUGACUUAAAACAAAUUUAGAAAAACUCUUGCGAUGUCAUCAAAAACACCAAAUUGUAGGACCAAAAGAGGCCUAAUUCCAGUAGACAAAUUUGCAUGCAAUGUUUAGGGUACUCUUGACCCAUGUGCUGGCCUGUCGAACUGCCCCAACUCCAGAAGUUACAGCCAUUUGAAAGUAAGAUUUAAAUGCACUUCAGGCAUCUUCCUUUGUCUAAUACCAUAGAUACUCUAAGCUGCCAGUUCUAACUCAAUUUGUCACCCAUCCUAAUUUCACACUGUGCGGGAAUACAUGUAGGUGCUGUAUAUCUAUCUCUUGCCCCAAACUUCUGAUGUAUGAUCUAUAUUGGCCUUCUCUUGCAAAUAUACAGCAUCUUCUCGUUAUUAUCCUAAUCUAGCUAUUUAGUAGCCAUAAAUUAAAGAGGAGAAGUCCCAGAAGAAUACCAUAAACCGACAAAAGGGCAUUCAAGCUUCCGAUUCUAUGCUUCAUAAAUCAAGGAAUAAGCACAAAUUGGAAAUGUAAAAAAGCAGUGAACAAUGGCUUACCAUAAAGAUGAUUAUAAACUACUUUCGUUGCCCCAGCAGCACCAAUGCAUUCCAAAAGAGCUUCCAAAGUACUCUGAGCUUUGAUCAGCACCAAUUUAGCCCCAAGGGAUGUCAAUGACUGUUCCAAUUGGAUGAGAGACUGCUUUAGCCACCACCUUGACACUCUACCAGGAUAAAACUGACCUUCUUCUUUAGGACACCAUAUAAAAACAGGGAAAACACAACCAUCUCUAGCAGCAGCAGCUAAGGCAGGAUUAUCCUCAAUCCUCAAAUCCCUCCUAAACCACACGAUGGUCUUAGCCUUACCAUCCAUAGUUCCUCGGAUCCCUGAAAUUGGACUUAUGAAAAAAAUCAAUGGUUUCUAAACAACACUGUUUCUCAGAAAACCCCUUAAGUUAUGGAACCUCAUCAAGAUUCCAGCUCCUCUACAUCCGUGCAACGAUUAUCACUAAUCACAAGAAUCCCACUACAGUUCCACUCAGAAAGCAGUAGACUUGACCUCCUACUCUCAAGUUCAGAUCUUGAUCAUCAUCUCAAAUUCUCAAUUACUCCACAUAGCUUGAUAUAUUAACUGAAUAUACUUCCACUUUUCAUGCAAUUUCAUCAGACUUCAGACAUAAAAUCCAUAUGCAUGGCUAUAUUGCUAAUCCAGAAACUAUGACAAAAAGAUCAAAGCUUGGAGGACUAAUCAAUCAAGAAUCACCUACCAGAGAUAACCCAAUGGAGUAUGAAGAGCUAUUGACACAGUCUUAAAAGAUUAGAGCAGAAGGGGGCUGUGAUCAAAACACUCAAGGGCAUGAAAUCAAGACAAAUCAACAUGACUACUUCGGGGGAUCAUAUUAACAUUAAACAAUGUUAUCCAGAGGACCACAAGUAACAACUAGAAUAGGAAAUUAUUAAACAACCGCACAGCAGUAACUAUCAAGGUAGAUUUUGGAGAGAGAAAAGCAAAGUAAUCAAGAUUUUUGACUGUAUACUGAUUCGGUGCAACUUUGUCAGUCCUCCAGAGGAAUCUGCCAAGCUUUUUGUGGACUUUUUGGGAUAAUUUCAGAAAGCAUCUCGAGAUUUCUUAUAAUUUCAGCUAGUAUGGUUAUCUUUGUUUUUAACGUUACACUUACCUCCAUUAACCAUGUAAAAUGACCAUAAUAAUCUUAAAAUAUCAAUAUUUUCAUGCAAUUAAAUAAUCAGUUCAUAAUCUUAUGCAAUGAAUACAUUUCACACAGUUAUAUUUUAAUUUUGCUUGGAGAAUCUACAAUUGAAUAGGAAAAGAUGCGGGUUAAAGGUUUAAAAAGCAUGGAAUUGGUGUUGAUGCUUCAAUAUUUGAAGAAUAGGAUGUUAUAUUAAUGCAUUUGAUGAAAUUUUUUUUAGUUUAAUGGUGCUGAUUUUUUUUUAGAUUGAAGUUUUGAAAUUUAGGGACUAAUAAUGAUGCUAGUCACGGAGAUAGUGCUGUUGAUUUGGAAUGUGGGGGUAUGGAAGGUUUAAAAUAGUAGUAAUCAGAGUCGAAAGUGGGUUUGUGAAAUAAUAUAGAUUUCAAACUUUUUAAGAAUUUUAUAAAAAGUAAAAUAAACUUCACAAUUUCACGAGAGCAUUUUGGAUUAUUCGUUCAUUCUUUGUUUCCAAAAUGUUAAUUUGAAGGCAGGUAUGUGUAAUUUUUAUUCAAAAAUAUGACCAUUAAUAAAAUUUUGUUUCCAAAAUAAUAACCUGGAGGGAGAUAUGUGUAAUUUUCAAAACCUAACUAGAUGAAAUUAUCAAAAACCUUAGAGGAGGUUUUCGAAAUUAUCCCUUUUUUCUGGGCUGUGUGGGGACAACAUGAAGAUGAAUGUAGCCGAGAUUGACUGCAUUAUUACUGGCCUAUGAGGAUUGCACAAAAAGAUUAAGAUAAGCCCCCACUCACCACCAAAAUAAUUGUACAUUCCUUGUCAAAGCACUGUAAAUUGUAUAAUUCAUUAUUGUGUACUUUUACUGUAGGAUGAGGAGGAUUGAGAUAAUUUGAAAUAAAAUAAUUUACUUCACAAAUCUCAAUCAUUUUUUUAUAUUUUUAAUCACCUUUUUAUCUCACAUACAUCACAUCACAAAAAGUGCUACAGUAAUUAUCUCGAAUAAAUCAUCCAAAUAAACUCUUAUCCAAACAAAAUCAUUGAAUCAUUGCUAAUUGAUGCUGUAUUUGGAUAGGAGAUUAUUUCAAGUAAUUAUUUGAAAUAAUUAUUAUAAUAAUUUUUGUAAUAUGACAUAUAUAAGAUAAAUCAAUUAUUAAAAAAUAAAAGUUAAUUAGUAAAUUUAUUUUUGAUACAAGUAAAAUAAUAUUUAAAAAAUUUUUUAUCAUAUAAAAUUAAAUUGGAGUGAUCCUCACCAUCAUUUGUCCCAAUCAUAUUCAUACAUAUUCAUUGUAAUUGUUAAAAUCAUUGCCGCCUCAAAUAUUAUCAAGUUACAAUACAUGUCAACUUCAUUGAUGAGGACGGAGCACUGCCUCUAAAAAAAAUGUUACGUCAACUCAAAAUUUUAUUUAUCAAAUACACACACACACACACACACACACACAUAUAUAUAUAUAUAUAUAUAUGCAAAUGUGGUUUUUUAAAAUUUUUUUCUAUAAACAAUUACAAUACAUAUAGAAGAACUAACAUAUUAUUUCAUCUAUAAAAGGCAUCAAGGCCAAGUUUUGGAAUUGAUUUAGGUUUUGAGGGAUCAAUAACGGAAUAAACAUAUUCAUUAAACACUAAUUGGCACAUAACCUAUCCAACUCAACAACUUGUUGCAAUCCCAAAUGGUUAGAGUAGAAAGAUGUGGCAUGGCUCCUUCUUCCACCGUCCAGUUUUCUAAGUAAGGCAUAUUGUCAAUGAAAAGAUGCCCGAGUUGAGGGAAGCCACUGGCAUGACAAACCAUUAUGUUUUUUCCAACAAAGGACAGCAUUCCCAGCUUCAAUAUUCUUAGAUUGGGAAGCCUCUCCAGAGCUUCCAUUGGAUCAUCCCCAAUUUCGCAGCCUGACAAGGUCAAAGAUUGGAGACUUGGACACAAACGAGAUGCUUGCUUGGGUAAUUUGCCGCACAGAGCACUAGAUGCAUGUAUACUUAACUCAUAAAUGUUGCAAUUCAUCAAAAGCUUUUUGAGAAGAACAAAACCUGCGUCUGAACUUAGAUGGACACGUAAGUCUUUAGCAGCCUCAAUGUAGUUGAUCAUCUUGGAGAUGCUCUCGUUUCCAUUAACUUUUGCAUGAUAUCGCAGAUUUUUCAUGAUAUAAAGAUCUGAAAUUUCCAUGUGUUCACAUGCAAAUCCUUCCAAUGUCUCCAACUUAUCCAGGCCAGGCAAUGUCAAUUUUUCUCCUCCUACUGCAUGAUACUUCCGAUUAAGAUAAAGGUUGCUUCAAUUUCCACGAAGCAUUGGGUAAUGCACAGUCACCCUCAUUGGUUAUAUCAUCUCUAAGAUCACGGGUCCGUAAGAAUGGCAAGUCGCAGAUGGAUGAUGGCAACUCUUUCACUCCACAGUCUUUUAUGCAUAGAAACCUCAAAUGGAGCAAGCUACCAAAACGUUGAGGUAGUUCAUUGAAACGGACACCUGAAAAGGUAAAGAACUCUUAAGAAACUUUAGUUUCAUCUACUCACUUGGUAACAAAAGAUCAUCUACCCAGUGAGAGCUGAAUAACAGAAGGGAUCGAAGUUGUUGAGCAGAUUCCUGUAUGACAUUAUAAUCAAAUGAAUGAUCCUUGUAAAUCACCAAUCUUCGCGGAGUAUUAGAAUUGAAAGAAUGAGGCCUCUGUGAAUGUGGUUUUCCAUCUCGAAGAGACAUCAUCUGGAAGAACUCUUCUUCUUCACUCUUUGCCGGACAUAGCUCUCGCAUAAGGUCAUGUAGGCGGCAAAAUUGCAUUGAUCCUGAAAACUGUUCAUCCGCUUGCACCUGCACCAAAGAUCUGCUCGCCAGUUCAUUGAAGUAGCGUUCUGCUACAUCCAUCAGUGCUUCUUCUUUUCCUUGAUCCCUUGAUGAAACUAUGCCUUCUGCCAUCCAACACAACACAAACACAAUUCUUCUGCUUGUAUCAUUUUAUCUUCUGGAUAAUGGCACGUAUAAAGAAAGCAUGGUUUCAAAUGAUAAGGCAAGUCAUCAUAAAUUAAGGUCAAUUCUUGAUCUAUUGCUUGAUAUCUUUCACUGCUUUCGCUCCUCCUUAAGUACGAAUCAAUGCCUUUAUGCACCUUCUUCCAACCAUCUAAGCAAUUCUUUUCACGCAAAAUGCCUCCAAUGACAGAGAUUGCUAAAGGUAAGUGUCCACAUUUGGCCACCAUUUCUCUUCCCAAUUCUUCCACGAGCUUUGGUUCAAUUCUUGAGUCUGAAAAUAGGUUGUUUAAAAGAUUAAUUAAUUUAAUUGAAUCGCUAAAUGCGAAAUGUUUUCGUGAUGGGACGUCCACAAUGCAGCAAAUUGUUGCCACUGUACAGGUAUUUUAUCUAGUGGCAGAUUUGUGGUUGACAGAAUUACUGCUUAGUGUAGAAAUGACCUGCAUCAAAGUGCCUAAAUUAAUGCUAAUGAACUGACAAUUCUCAUUCACUAACGUUUCAUUACCUAGUUCUACAAGCUUUGAAGCAUUGAAAUAUAUCCAGACCCCCAAAAAAACUGAAACUUUUCUGAUACCUAGAGGAAAUUUUGCUGAGGCUUGCCUCAGCAAUUGGGAGGGCAGGUCUAAGGCUAUUCCAAUCAUCCACCCUCCAUAUGUCAUCAACAACAACUAGACAACUUUUCACUUUCUGCACCUUGGAAAACUCCUCCACAACUUCCCUCUCUCCCAUUCGAGAAAUCUCUUCUUUCUUUUCUGGAGCAAGCUGCUUCAGGAUAUCUUGUAGUACGUUCAUGGAUUUGCAAUCUUGGGUUAUACAAACCCAAUCAAAGCCUUUGAAACUGCGUUGAAUAUCCCGGUGGUGGUAGAUUUUUCGGGCAAGAGUUGUCUUUCCUAAGCCACCCAUCCCAUAUAUUGAAACAACUCGAGCAUCCCUCUUGUCAUGAUCAAGCAUUAGCGAUACCAGAUGAUUGAUGUCCUUUUUCAUCCCAACAAAGUCUUCAUCAACAUCGUGGGCGUACCUUUGCCUCAAUCAUUUUCUUCUUUCAUUUCUUGCAUCCGAACUCUCCUUUUCCAUUGCAGCUUUUAUGCCAAAAGAUUCCAUGCUCGCUGUGAGGUUGCUGAUCUCUGUUUUGAUAUCUGCAAUCUGGGAACCAACCUUGUGAAGGCUUGUGGAUUCUCUUAGCAUACAAGCAAAUCUUUUGAGCAUGCUGCAGAUGUCCUUCCUUUCCCUUUUCGAUGCAACUUUAGCAGCAUAAGUCUCGACAAUAUUCUCAAUCCGAUAGGCCAGAUCCCUGAUCUGUUUUACAUAAUUACGGACGCUGCACUCUUCAUGUUUCCUUUUAUCCACGUCCUCCAGGAAACACUGCAUCCGCUGCUGCAGGGAUUGAACUUCCUUCACUUCUCUGCCAACUCCUGAUAAGAAUCUCAAUCCUUGAACUAAUAAUUCCCUAAGGGUUUCCAAAGCUAGAUUGACUACAUUUUCUGCCAUUAAUUGUUUUCUUGAGUGCGGAACAAUCGAUAUCACAAAAUUGAUUUUUUUUUUUUUUUUUGGAAGAGUUACAUGUUACACGAGCUUUAAAUCUUCAGCUGCACUUUGUUGACUAGUUCUUCGAUGGCAAUUGGGACGGAUGCCCACAACGUGCAAGGGGAACGAUGGGGCCAGGGGGCGGGGAAAUGCCGGGCAAGGGGAGAUAUAUGGCUUCCCGCUCCAAAUCCACCCCAUUGUCAUCCAUAUCAAAGAAUAGUACUCCUACAAAUUAAAACUAGUAUGUAUGGUACUGCCGCAUUGUUUAGCUUUGAAUAUGUAAAUUUUGGAGCAUAAUUAACCUCUGAGCAAUCAAGAUAUGUGAUAAUCAAGAUUUUUUAGUUAUGCACACUACUUAUUCUAUACAAUCUAAUGUUAUUCUACAAGGUACCCAUAAUUUUUUGACCAUACAAGAAACAGAGAACUGAGGCCUAAAAUAUCUUCAAGGAUAGUAGUUAAUAGUGCACAGCUAUCACUAUUCUGAGAGAUGAGCUUCCUGAUUAUAGAGCGAUUCUCUGCCUGCAACUCUACAGUCUACAUGAGCCCACCCCUCUUCCCUUAAUUUGAAGUUGCUCCUUGAUUGAUUCAGCUUCAUCCAGCUCAAAAUGAGGCAUUGUCAUUAGGCACUCGUUCAGAGUCACUGUCAUUACCCACUGGUUAGAAAAAUCCCCCUAGUUCUUGGAAUUCCAAUGCUCAGUCUAGCAUCUGACUUAUGAGCAGAAAAAGAUUAAGAUGCUACCACAAGCAGUAGGUCAUAGUGAUAGAGGUGGGAUGCUGGGCAGAAAUUGAACAUCUGUUGCAAUAAGGGCCCGAAAGAGUAAAUGCUAACCUCAAUUAUGGUUCACGGUUGAACUUUGGAGAUGAUCUUCAGAAGAAACAUGAAAAAUCAAUGAGGGAGGCAGGUAGCUUUGGAGUUGAGAAUAAUUCAGGUUAGAAUGGGGUAAUGUACGAGAUUAUCGUUAUUUCCUGGUGCAAAGAAGAAAAGAGGAAUAUACCUAUGUUGCAGUUCUUAUAUUAUGGUUCAUAAAGAGGGAUGAAGCUUGUUACCAGGCCAUCAAUCAUCACCACUCAAUGAAGGGUGAAUUUAUACUAUUUGCCAUAUAAGUUACAACUUGCUACUGAAGAACGCCAAGUUUACAAGUUCCCGCGACCGAGAAUCAUGCACCCAAUCCGCCCAUUCCACAAAUUGAAACAACUCUGUAUUUCCUAUCAUCAUCAAGCAACAUUGGUGCCAACGCACUUAUCUCCUCUUCCAUCCCGACAAAACGUUCCUCCACUCCAUGAGCACAAGUUUUUCUCAACCAUUUUUAGCGACUCGAUUGAGAUAGUCCUCUAUUCCCAUUUUUCUUCUUUUCAGUAUAACCUCAGCUGCAUAUGUUUCCACAACAUCCUCAAUCCGAUUAGAAAGCUUCUUGAUUUCUUUAACGAAAUUUUGGACGCUUUGCAUAUUUUAUCCUAUCAUCGUCCUCUUGGAAACACUGCAUUUGCUUGAGCUCUGCUUGCACAUCUUUAACUUGGCUAUUGACUCCAGAUAAGAACUUGACUUCUUCAUCAUCUAGUAAAUCACGAAUGGUUCAAAGAGCAGGAUCAACAACAGGUCCUGUCAUUUCUCUCUGUCAUCAAGCGUAUAGUCUUGCAAAUUGAAAUAUGCUGUUCAGCAUCUGGCUUGCUUAUAACUUUUUUGCAUAGUCAUUUCUUCCUCGUAUGUCAGAAUCAAGAAGUCUCUCUUUUGUUUGGUAAAUAAGACAAGGGUAGAUAAGGUUGGAUCCCAUUUAAAGGCAAUCAGUACUCUGUAUUGUACAAAUUAGACCAUGCAUCAGUUUGAUAACGGUAAAGAUGGAAAAACUUGUUAGAACUGACGUUUAAAAAAUUUGGUCAGUGUACUUUUAUUUGUCGUUUUAUUAUUUUCAUAUAAUAUUAAUUAUUUUUUUACAAUUUUACCCUUUUAUCUCUCUUUUUCAAUACAAGAUUCUUAAUUACUACUCCAUUUAAUUUACAUUGCUUUUAGGCUUUAGCCUAGUAAAACAGCACCAUUUAGUACUCUAGUGAGAAAAAAUAUGAGUGAAUUGGACAAUUAAUGAGGGUACAAAAAAAAAAUAGUGUACAAAUUUAAGCAAUAAAACACUUUUCUUAAUUGGUGUGCAAAACCUUAAACGCCAGUUAUAAAAAAAGGGAGGGAGUAUUAGCCACUUGACUUUCAGUGGUUUUGCAUAUAUUAUUGUUAAAACCAACGCCUGUUAUAAUGCAAGGCCAGCUCUUAACCACUGGAAGUAGCCCAAUUGCUUUGUAUACAAAACUGCUGUGAAACCAAAACACACAAUUUUCAUUUGCGAAGUAAAUUUCCAGGAACCACCCGACAAAGAAUUAAACAAGCCAACGCCGUUUCAUAAAGUACAAAGUAAUGCUAGUAAUAUUAUAUAAUCAGUAACCAUACCCAUCUUCCAUCUGAGAAGCAUCAUGAAAAUGAGGAACCCCAAUAAUCCCCAUAGGUUGGGAUACAAUAUGUAAGAGCUCCUAAUCAGCCUUCCCAGGGAAACGAUUAUUUAUGAUGAGCCUAUAUGUUGUCAGAAACAGGUUCUGCACAACAUUAAUGAUUAAAGCACAACCCGUCUUACAGUUAAAAUGACAUGAGUAAUUUUCCCAGAGGUAGAAAGAAGCCCUUGAGAAAUAGAAAGGGUGUGGUUUAAUUUGCUCGUUCUCUGAGAACAUCAAGCUCCAUUUCAGUAGGAUCAGUGGCCUGGAUCUCAUAAUGGAUACCCUGCAGCUCCCUUCGGAACCUAUCCUUAGAUGUGGCAUACAGCAUUUUCGGACGGAUCCUGGACACAGAUGGAGACCUGAAAAACAAAAGUCAAGCACCAUAUCGUGUUCUCUAGUAACUAGAUGGUGUAUGCUAAGUUUCUAACGUAGCACAUGUAGAGAACACUGAUGAACAAACUUAAAAAGCUCUAUUUAUCAUUCAUCAGCAUGAAAAAGAAAUAAGAAAUAGCUACUCAUGAGCAAACUUCAAAAGCCUCUAAUAAUCAUUCUGCAGCAGCUUAAGAAAAAAAAAAUAAGAAACAGCUUUGACAAUUAGAAGACUUUUCUCCUACUAAGGCAGGACUCAAUCCAGUCCAAGGAAAAUGAUUGGUCCAAUCAGAAACGCUAAUUAGAAUCCAGAAGCAGUGUGGAGCAAUACUCUUAGUUCUAAACACAGAGCAAGUAAAGUAUAGAGUACAUAGAAUUUGCAGAUGAUGUCAACGACGACAACUGAUAAACGAAUACAGAAUGUUUAUUAAGUGUGAGAGUCUGUUCAUCACCGAGAGAGAGAGAGAGAGAGAGAGAGAGAGAGAGAUUCUAGAUCAACAUGCAGCCUAGAUGUCAAUAAUUCAUUAUCCACUAUCUGACAAAUCUUUAUGUGAAAGCAGAUAGCAGACAGCGGAAUACAAGUCAGCAUCUUCUAUUUAAUGCUUAGGCGUGGACAAUUCCUUAUCCAGUGUCACAACUUUUCAGGGCUACAUAAAAGCAGAAACAGAACAUAAAUCAGCAAUGCAAGGACAGGACGGAAAGAUGAGAACUCUUAUGGAGCUAAUGUUAAAAUUAUCAACUGACUGGUGUUUCUUGAUUCAGCGUUCUUUAAAGGAAACAUGAACAACAGAACUUUCAGACGAGAAAAAAUGAACACCUCGCAUAUAAGUUAAAACUGACCAUGCAAUGAAAAAUAUCUUGCUCUUUUGACAGUUCUCUGCAGUAACAUAAUCAAAGUCGUAUACUGCAUAUCGGCAAUCAUUCUCAGGUAGAGAUGCAGUGAAAUCUUCAUAGCUCUCAGAUGGGCUCCCAGUUUUUUCAACCACCACUUCUUUUUUCAUCUCAUCAAUCUUGAAAAUCACAUAGCGGUGCACCUUUUUCCUCUGCAAUUCGAGGUAUGUGCUUUUGCAAUGUUCAGCAACACCCAUGCCAGAUGAUGCAUUGGGCUGAAAUUGUAAAAUAAUAAUCAUGCUUUUGCACCAAGAAGAAAUGAGACUUGAGUAAAUUGGAAAUCCAAGCAUUAGGAUGUAAUUUUGUGAACACAAAUGGAAAACCAACAGCUGCAUCCUUUUGCAGGAUUCAUCCUUUCACCACACAAAACUCAAGAAGUUGUCGCAAAUUACAAAGGCAAUAAUAAGGGAAAUCAAAGGUAAUGCUUCUUUAAGUAAUCUCCAUCUUCACAAAGCACGCAACAGAGCUGAAAAACCAAAAAUGUUGACACUGUUUUGGAUACUUCAUUUUUGUGAGAAGUUUACGCUUACAGAUUGAAGCACUCAUCAAGAUAACAGUUUGAAAAUUCCAGAAAGUUCCCAAUUCAUAUGGAGUUAGUUAUCCUUCCACUGGAAGAGUAUAAACUACAGCAAAAACAACAGUAAAGAGAUUAUUGCCCAGAUAUUCUCAAGACCCUAUAGCACUAACCAAGGAAACUCAUCCUGAGUUUUAUGAUCCCAAACAUUGAAACCUUGAAACCAGAAACAGCAAAAAUCAUACAAAAUGUAGUAGAUUAGUGAUCUUUCUCCAACAACUUCAGCUUAAAGGCCCAACUCCAGGAAUUCCACAUACAUGGAGGGACCAUUUCAUCCCCAAUAACAUGCCAAUGUCUUCAAUCACAAACUAAAACAUAUGAUCCAAAAUUACAGAAGAAUUCCAGUCAAAAAUCCUCAUGAAUACUAAUAACGAGUACCAUCAAAACUGAGCUUCUAUAAUACAUGGUACAUCACAUAUUCACAUAUUGACCACACCCACAUACAGACACAUCAGAUCAAAAACUUCCAAGAUCAAGAGAUUUAUCACACAGAAAACUCUAAAACCAUCACUCAGAUGAAUAAAGCACAGAAAUACAAUAAAAAAAAUAUUCUUCUCUAUUAACACAAAUAACCGAGAUCUUGGAGGAUUUUUUUUUUUUGGGGUCAAAACUAUCUUGGAGGAAUUUACUUCACUCAAUAAUUAGCAAAAACCCACUAAGUAGCACACAAAACCAAGCUCAAAAGUUCCAAUCCAGAUACUCAGACCCAAUUUCUUCUUUAAAAGGAAAAAAAAAAAAAAAAACAAAGGGAGCCCAACUAUUAAAUCAAAAAAAAAGAUUUAACCUUUAGCUGCAAUACUUUAUACAUCAGAUAAACAUAAGAUUUUGAUCCAUGCUACAAAUCGGAACACAAGAUCAGUAGAAUAAAAAGUUAAAAGAAUAAAAAAAAAAACUGAAAAUCAGCUAAAUUGAGAUCUUACCCCCCUGCUGAAAGACGUGGCUCUGCUGAAAGACAUGGCUACCGAAGAGAGAAGAUGAUGAGCAGAUGGGCUAAUGGAUUCGUGUAGCUUCAGAUAAUGGAGUGAAGUUAUUGAGUUACAUGUAUUGGGAAGAAAAAGAGAAUAAAAAGUACAAACCCAAGAAUUGUUUUUUCUUAGACAAUGAAUAUGAUGCAUACAAGUGGAGAAUUUCUUUUCAAAUUACUAUAUAGAUAAGUCAAUUCAUACAUUUUAAUCGUUUCCAAACGAUAUAGAUAAGUCAAUUCAUACAUUUUAAUUCGUUUCCAAACGGGAUUUGACUUUUAUUCGAAUUUUGGAAGUAUAAUUUGGAUUUUUUUUUCCCACAGACUGGAAACAAUAGCUAUUUACAUUAAUUCUUAUCUAAGUGCAUGGAAAGUCCAAAUUGUCCUUUCUUUUGUCCGUCUGGCAUUCUUUCACAGCUUCGUCUAAUUGAGGCUCUUGAACAGCCUUUUUUUUAUUGUUAAAAAAUAUUUUAGAAAAGCUAUCGAUUAAACCCCUCAUUAACAAGUUUUUCUUUAUUAAAAAAUAAUUAUUUAACACGUGUUUUAAUCACAUUCUUAAUCACACAUAUGUCACAUUCCAAGAAAUCCUAUAAAAAAUUAGAAAUUCAAAUAUAGCACUUUCCAAAAAAAUGUUAUAAUUUUUAGAAACUCUUCUAAAAAUAACACUUUUUUUUUGACGAAACUAAAAAUAACACUUUUAAAUAAAAAAUUUACUAAAGGUAACGAGACAAUAAAUGGAGGUGUAUGCUUUAAUUUAAUCAAUUGUGUAUACAAAUCUGUGCUCCAAAAUAUGCUUUUAACAAAAUUUUUGGAGUUUUAUAUUCAAAGUGAAAAAACAACACUCAAAAACAAGUCGUCUUAGGAAUAUAGGAUCUAUCUGCCAUGUCCUUUGCCGUUUCUUUCCUUUCUUGGUGAGAUGAAGACGUAUUACUUGCAAAAAUGCCAGAAGCAUUCAGAAGUACGUUUGCAAAACUCCCAAGAAAGGAAACCAAUAUAUAUAUAUAUAUAAUAAAAUCGUAUUCUCAUCCUUAUCGCUUCAUAUUUUCUCUUUCCUACGUGGCUUAACGAGACGACAAGUAGUUUCUUACGUAACUUGCUCCUUUUUUGUUUGGAUUUAUAUCAAUUCUUAUUUCCUAUAUUAUAUGAUUGGUCCGAUAAGAAUUGUUAGUCCGAUAAGAUAUAUCAAUCAUACUAAGAUAUAUCAAUUCUUAAUCCGAUAGGAAUUGUUAUCACUAAAAAAAGGUAGAAAAGUAACUAAUUUCAAUUAAUAAAUCAUUUUUUCUUAAAAAAAAUAGUUAUUUGGACGAUUAUGGUUUUAUUUCCUAUAAGAAUUCUUAAUAUUACAGUACUCUUAUUUCCUACAAAAAGUUAUGUACUUUAAGCAACUUAAAUCAAGAUAAACAUACUUUUAAUGUUCUUAUCCAUAUCUCUUUAUAUUCUUAUCAAUUCUUAUUUCUUAUGCCUACACUACAUAUAGCCUCUAAUAUAUUAGUUAGGUAUUUUUAGUACAAACGGUUGGUACAUUAAAACAUCGAUUUUGAGUUUAUAACCUCCUCUUGAUUAUCAGGUACAUCUUCUUUCAAUACAUAUUUUUUUUUAAAAAGACAUGUUGAUCUUCAAUUGUAAGAGUUUAGUAACAUACCUUGAAUUUUGUUUUUUUUUUGUUUUAUUUUGUUUGUUUUGUAUGAAGACAUAGGAAUUGAUUUAACAUGCACGUUUUUAGUCCCAAAAUGUAAUUGAUUUAAUGUUAUAUAUUUUAAUUGGUUCAAAGACCACUUUGGGUAAAAUAGUUUUUUUACUGUCCCAAGUAGAUAACUCUAAAUAAUUGAGUGAUAAAAUUAUGCCACAUGCCCUUUGUAAGCUAAACAUGACAAAAUGAACAAGAUCCAUUGAAAAAUUGUCAAAUGGAAUUUCCAUCGAAUUUCUUUAAUUGGUCACAUGCAUCGAAUCAGAAAUAAGUUUUAAGGGAAUCGCACAUGCAGUCAUGCAUGCGUCAGUACAUUUAAAUGGGUGCGCCCGUUCUGUGGAUAGCUUUGGAGUCUUUCUUUUGACUGAUUAAUGCGAAGAUCAAUCUCAUGACAUUGACUAAAACGGAAUCCUAUUGGGUCGUUUCGAAUGCAUAUAAUUUUCAUUUUUUAAACAUGUCAAAAAAAUGAGAACAAACAAUUACUGAAAGAUUCAAGUUUACAAGAUGAAUAAAAGUUUAAAAAGGAUGCAACUAUGCUAAGUAAAAACUUCGGUAAACGGACAACUUCCUUGACUAACGAGGUUUUGCAUGGAUUGCCAUUUUUUUUUCAAAAAUUAUGUAUGUUUUUCGUAAAUAUUUUUUAAUCAAAUUUUCACCUCAUAUAUAUAAAUUUUCAUGGGUUUUGUUGUCUAGAAUUUUUGUAAUGAAAUUGUUUUCAGCGAGCCAAAAGAUUCUUUUUUAAAAAAAUAUCUUCAUCUUUAGAUGUAAGAAUUUUAUGGAAGUAAAUGUUAUUGUUGAUUACGUCCCAUGUUGUUAUUAAAUUUUUAAUAAUCAAUUGACUAAGACAUUUCUUCAUGAAAUUUGUGUCUUUAGCUAUUAUUACUAUUAGUUACUUUAGUUGAAUUUUUUUUGCUAUGUCUGACACUGCUGUUAAAUAUUCAUAUUAUAAGCAUUUGGCCUAUGCCUCUUGAGUAAUCAUGAACUCAAAGGGAAAAUUUUAUUUUGGUUCCUUGUGCGAAAUUUAUAUAUGUUGGUGUUCAAGGGUCAACAUAACAAGAUUUUCAUGGACAUAAUAUAUAGUCAACUAAAUCUACAAAUACAAUUUACUAUAAAAUUAUUACCCACUUUAAUACAUCAAAUACCAUAAAUAGUGUGGCUAAUUAAAUCCUGCUUUGCUAUCAUGCAGUAAUAAUGAAAAAUCAAUAAAUGCUGAGUUGCACGGACAAAUAGAAUGUUCAAAUAGAAAAAAAAACAAAACAAGUUUCUGAAGAGUAGAAUAUUAUUUGAUACUAUUAACUGCACUUUUUAUUUAUUUUCAAGUUUUUGAAUGUUACAAUAUUGUUGAAUGUUAUUUUUUUCAUUUUUGAAUUAUUAUUCACUGAUUUAGAUGUUCAAUUUUAUACUAUAAAAAUAAUUUAUAUAAGUUUGUAUACUUUACAUAGUAAUAUACUUAAGACAAGUUAUAAUAGAUUAUACAUAAAAUCUGUAUUUUAUAUCAACAUAUUUAUAAAAUUAACUAAAUAUUUUAUUUUUUUUCAAUGAUUCCCGUUCAACGAACGGGUACAAAACUAGUUACUAUAAUAGUUCAAGUGCCUCCCACGCUGACAAUAGGUUUUUCUAAUGGAUGUCCAUUAAUGUACCUAAAUCAUGCCUAAUUUACUGUCGUAUGAAUUUGCACACUGACAAUUAUUAACUAUGUUAAAUUUCUAUAUAUUUUUUAAAUUAAUAUUAUUUUUUCAAAAGGAUAAUGUUAUUUGUGCUCCUCAUUUAUUAUUUGCACUCCCACUAUCAUAUUUUUAUUUGAUGAAACUAUAUUAUCCCCUCCUUAAUUUCUUCUCCUUGCCUAUGUGUUAACUUUAUUAGAUUUUCUCUUACAUUCUAAAACCAAUUAAUUAUUCCAUUACACAUAAAAAUAGCUAAUUUAAAAUUUUCACUAAUAUGUAUUAUAUAUUUUUCUACAAAAUUUCAAGAAAUUAUAUGAUGCCAAAGAUCAAUCUAACAAUGUAAUAUGAACAGAUUCCAAACUUCAAAUCCAAAAUAAAUAAAUAAAUCCCAAACUUCAAAGAUAAUCAAAAAUUGAAUAUAACUACAAUGUCUCAUAAAUAGGACACUAAUACUUCAAAAAGUCUACUAAAAAUAGCUCAUAUAGCCACCAUAGAAGGAGUAAAGUUUUCUAGUAUAUUUCAACAAAUGCAUAACAGCAUCUAGUAUUCAGAUGAUGCAAUGAAACCUCACUUGUGCUCAUCAAAAUUUGCAAAAAUUGAAAUUGAAAUAAGAAUAUGAAAAAUAAAUUAAAAAACUGCCAUGUAGAUUUAGAAAAAGAGAAGCAAAAGUUAAAAUUUUUUUAACCUUCUAGAGUAGUACGACAGUUGUGCCCAACAUCCUUGCAUGUGAACACAAAAUAGGGUAGGGGAAGAAAUUAGGAUAGAAGUAAUAUGAAUCCCGUCAAGAUAAAAAUUGGACUCUGGGAGUGCAAAUUAGCUUUUCAAAAUAUGAAAACUGAACUCCAUCUUAACAUGCUCCAGUAAACAGUAAAAGAAAACGCUACCGUUGAAUCAUUUGUUUAUUGCUUCAGUUGCACUAGACAAAUGCUGGAGCUGUUUUUAAAUAGCCUAGUCUUAUGGUAUUUGUCAAUUAAUUCUAGUAAUGUAUUUCCUCCUAUUCUUUAUCAUUUCUGAAUAGAUGUUAAUUGAAGUCAAGAUGCUUUAUGAUCCACAUGACUCUUUUUGUCAAUUUCUAAGAGAACUCAAACUUUUAGCAUAUAAAUCGAAAUCCCCGAACAAUCUUCAAAAGCCGGCAACUUUUGAAGGCGUUCAGGGGACUUAUAAACUAACCCCCCAAACCCCCCAUAGUCGAUGUGGGAUAGAACCUCCACAGGAACCCUGCUGCUAGAAAGUAAAGACCCCCCAAGUACCCCGUAAUGGAGAGUUCUGUCUUUUUGUCAAUUUCUGAGAGAAUUCAGACUUUUAGCAUAUAAAUCGAAAUCCCCGAACAACCUUCAAAAGCCGGCAACUUUUGAAGGAUGAUCCACAUGACUCACAUAACACAAUUUUAUACUAUAUAUAUUAGUACCUGAAAAGAAAUAAGAUCUUAUGCAUUCCACCAACGAUACAAACCAUUAAACUUUGACCAAAAAUCAUAUUUAGUUGUACGUGGACUCAAUUUUCGACUCAAUUUUAUCAAGUUCAAAUUUAAAUUCCAACUUGACAAGUUUGAUGUUGAGCCUACUUGAGCUUAAAAAAUAAAAAAUAAUUAUUUUUAUUUUGAAAAAAUGAAUAAAAUAGUAAUUGACCUUAACAAAUAAUAAAAUAUUAAAAAAAUAUAUAUGUAAUUUUUUUUAUUAAAAUAAAAAAUAAUAUAUAUUAUAUAUAUAAUUGAGCGGCUCGCGAGCUAAUGAACUGCAAUUUUCUGUGCUCGAACUUGACUCGAGUUCGAUGUUGAUUGAGUUUGAGUUGAGCUUUGAUCGAGCCGACUCACAUGCGCUCGCGUGCUGUUUAAUUUGUUUACAGCCAUAGUCAUUGCCAUUAAUUUAUAGUUCUUUGUGAGACUUAAUUAUUUUUGCCCUGGUUGUUUCUUAUUCACCAAAUGUUGCGCGUAACACAUCGGGUGGUUUUUCUAUUGCAUUUAAAAACGUGAAAUGAUAUUACUGUGGGUCUUGAUUUUUGUAGAGGCAAUUCCAUGCAUAAUUUUAUGCCCUUGUCAAUAUAUCAUAGUUGGAUGCGUUUCAAAUUUCAGUAAUUAAUAAUAAUCUCCUCUUCUUCCAUAUAUAUAUAUAUAUAUAUAUAUAUAUAUAUAUAUGUAUUCUUCCAUAUCAUGUGUUAAAUAUUCUUCCAUUGAUUUUUUUAUUUUGGUGCCUAUAAGGCUCAAUGAAAUUUUACUGAAAUAAAAGUUCUAUAUUUAUCAAAAUUUUAAAUGUUCACUAAGAAAUCUUUUGAUGAUUUUGGAGAUUUUCCAAUUAAUUCAAAACAAGGCAAUUAAUUUGUUUGGAUAGGAAGUUAUUUGAAAUAUUUAUUUGAAAAAAUUACUAUUGCACUUUUUGUGUUGUGAUGUAUGUGAGAUAAAAAGGUGAUUGGAAAUUGUGUGUAUGAUGCAAACAAAACAAAAUCUGAAAUUUUUAUUUUAAAGUCUUGCUAUCCAAACAAACCAAGCUUGAUUUGAUUAGCCGUCAAACUAAUCCUAGCCAAGCUUCUAUUGAGCCUAAUUAAUCAUCCUUUUUUUUUUUUCUCGAAAGAAGCCUAGUCAUCUUCGACUAUGGCGUGAUCUAUAUCAACUUCUAACUUGGUGUAUAUUAGGAUGCAAUUGAAUCGAGUCGAAUUCAAGUAGUGCACUAUUCAAACUCGAUUUGAGUUAAAAAACUUGAUUCGAACUUGAACUCAAAUUCGAUUUUGUUUUGCAUUACUUAAGCUAGAGCUCAAGCUUGAGUGUGUGCUCAUCAAACCUAAUCGAGUUUAACAAAUGUAAAUUUAUAUUUUAUAUAACAUUAACCAAUUGACAAAAUAAAUAAUUCAUACAAAUAAAUAAAAAAAUUUGAAAAAACAUAUAUAUGCGAAGGUUGAUUGAGUUUGAUUAAACUUGACGCGUUUUUAAACUUCAUUUAUUAAUCUCAAACUUGACUUGUCAAAUAGCUCAAACUACUCAAACUCGAGGUCGAAUUUGGUUGAAGCGAGUUUGAACUCGACCUCGAGUUUUGACCGAGUAAAUUUGCAAACUAAUGGAUUAAGUUUGACUUGUUUACGCAAUGUAUAUGCCCUCAAAUUUAAAAUUUUUAGGGGGCAAAAAACGAAAACUUUCAAAUUUCGUAGAGGACAGUCUAAAUUAGGGGAAACAACCCAAUGCCACGCACUGAAGAGAACAGUAAGUUGUGGAGUAAAUGAGGCAUAAUAAUUAAAAGGAUAAGCCGGAAAACUCCCACCUCGAUUCGGCUCAACGUCCCUCCAUAUUCAAAUUACCGUUAUCUAUUCCCAACUGAAGAGUGACUUAUGCGCCAAAAUGGAAUUUCAAGGUGAUUAUUGCUGCUCAUUUUUCUUGCAAUCCCUAAUUGCACUCUUCACUUCAAUUUUAUUGGCCACUCAAUCUUAUGCAUAAAAGGAUAUUGCUUCUUGAACCUAAAUACAAGUGUUUUAUUCCCUUUUAAUUAAUUCGGUUUUUGUUAAAGAAUUGGAUUUGAUGAUUUUCCCCAUAAUUUAGGGCAUAGAGGUUCCCAUAACCCUAAGGCCAUGCUCACUUCUCUACUGAGUACGAGAGAAAAGCUUCAAGAAGAGCUCCGAAAUGUUGAAAAGCAGGUAAAUUUGAUGUGGUGUUUACAUCUUCAAGUGAUUGUUCAUAUGUUACCCGUUCAGGGCUUGUUUUACUGUCAAAAUUUGUUCUUUCAUUUACCUAUUUAUUUAUUUUUGGAUGUAUAGAAUAGAAAUUAUACCUGCUGAAAGUACUGUAAGACUGAUUGCCUGUGAAAAUAAGAUAGUAAGUAAAGCCACUUUUGGUUAUUUUUGUUCUUACAUCCUUUUAGAAGGAUUGGAAAGGGAAGUAAGAUUUGUAAGGAUACGUAGGCAGUGAGAAUUGAAUCCGUGUUGUAAGACAGAAACAGAACCCCUUGUACAGCAGGCUAUGCGGACCCUCAGUUCUUUUUGUUUUAAAUCCUUGAGAACGGAAGUAAAGAGUAAGAAUUUUUAUACAAGUACCUGGUAAUUAGCAGCAUUAACCAAGCAUUGAAUAUGACGAGCAAAAGUUAGAAUUACACUGGUUACGUUUUGCAUCUGAGCUCUGUUUUUAGACAUUCUCUGUUGUUUACUCUGAGGCAGCUGUGCUGAAACUUUGUGCACUUCUGUAUAUGUGUUUGCAUACUGGGGAGUGACAAUGUAUAGGUGACGGGGUUUGAUUGUUUUGCUUUUAUGAGGGCUGCUUGCUUGUAACGCAGGUUGCUUUUUGAUGUAAAAUUUCUGGUAUUUUAAGAGUUUAAGGUUGUGGAGAAUGAUUCUUGUAGGUUUAUGAGUUAGAGACGAGUUAUUUGCAAGAAACAAGCAAUUUUGGUAAUGCCUUCAAAGGUUUCGAUGGGUUCCUUUCAGCAUCGAAAAACACAGCAAAGUAUGCAACUUUCUAUGCAGUCUUUACUUUUCAUUUGAUCAGUGCUUAUUUUCCUCUCAGAUAGCACCUCUUCCCGACCUGCCCACCCAAUUUACACAUGUUUGUAUUCUUGUUACUUCAAGUGGUGCGGAUAGACCUGUUGUUUAGUAUUUAUACAUCUGCCAAAUCUUUUUUUUUUUCUAAUUCUUUUUGCAUCUUUUGAAAGGACUGCUUACUGUUGACAUUUUAGGUUAAUUGCUGGUGCUUUUGAUGUAACCUCUUUGUGUAUUGUGUCACAGCCUUAAGAGAAGCAAAAAGUUUCAGCCUGAAGAUAGGGUGUUUUCAUUGUCCUCUGUGACUUCACCUGCGGUAUGUGAGAUAGUUCAAUAUUGAAGUAUGUUGUAAAAUUCCUACUUCACGGUCUUGGUAACUUAUUCUAGAAUGGAGAAGUGAUCACCACAUGAAUGUUUUCUGCACAUUUUCGUGGCUUUUGCUGUGUAUAUAUAGGUUUAUAGCACUCUUUUAUUGUUUCAUUCGAAUCUGACUCUCUGAGUUCUAGGGUUCGAUUUUUGAGGUUAGGUGUCUCAAUUUUGUUAUCUAGUUAUACAUCUGAGAGCAUGUCUUGAUUUGCAUAAGCACUAAGAUUAGGAAUAUGCUCUAGCUUCAGGUAAUAUUUGAGACUUUUUUGGCUAAUCUGUAUGAUGUAGCAUCUACCAGCGGGUUUCUUCUUAAUUAUCUGAUUAGCUAACUUUGUGUUUGAUGAUAUUUCUCUUUAUGCAUCUGGGAUAUUUUCUUCAUGGCUAAUUUCCUGUAAGAGUUUUGUGCUGCCAAGCUCCUCCUUUUACUUUAUAAUUGCAUGCUUUUGCGAAUUUAGACGAAGAAGGGUUCUUUUCUUUUAAGGUUUUUGCAAUUUGAAGUGAUUUGUAAUCGUGAUUUUGGCAAGGAGGAAAGUCUGAGAGCCUUAGUGUAGAACAAGAAAACUUAGCUUUCUACUGAAAUUUGUGCUCAAGUAUUUAACUUCAAUAGUGCUAUGAAACUGUUUCUUCAAGCCCCUCUCUGGAGAUGAAAAUCAUCAUAGAUUCAAACAUGUCUUGGACUUGGAGUGCUAUAACCUUCAUGUCUUUAUACUAGAGGUAGAGUUUUACAUCAUGUAUACCUCCUAUCUAUUUCUAGUUUCCUUCUCUAAGUUUUUUGUGUUUACCAUGGUAAUAUUGCUUGUCUUAUAAAAUUAAGACAUUGAAUGCCAUGUUACUUGGGAUUUUAAUUAAGUAGGACAAUUGUUCUGAGACUAAUAUGCUCUUUGUCUUUGUCUUUGUUCAGACAGAAGAGCUUGGAACUGGGCAAGAAGGUAAUUGCUUCCUAUGAUGUUGAGUGUGUUAUCGUUCAUAGUCACUCACGUAGUCCAGUUAUGUGCUUUAUUAUCAUUGGACACAGAUGGGAAAUCAGAUCUUGGUCAAGUUCGGCCCAAGGGUGGAGGCAAAGCCAUUAAUGGGCCGUAAGUUUACUUUUUGUUCCUGUACAUGAUUAGAGACCUUUCUAUUCGUUUGGUGUCAGGACAGCUUUGAAAGGUUUAUAAUCAUUUCUAUUCGUUUGGUGGAGGCAAAGCCAUUAAUGGGCCGUAAGUUUACUUUUUGUUCCUGUACAUGAUUAGAGACCUUUCUAUUCGUUUGGAGUCAGGACAGCUUUGAAAGGUUUAUAAUCAUUUCGUUGGUUUAUCUCACCAAAUGCUGAAUGUUAAAUGAGGCGGUUAUCGUUUCUGUUAUCUUCCAACCUUUUUAUAUCUAUGGCAAAGUGAAAUUGAAAUUCUUCUUUCAGCGGAAAACCAAAGAAGGGAAGAACAGGACAAAGAGAUGGAAAGAAAAUUAGGCUCUCAAAUGAUGCAGAUGUCGAUGCUGAAGAUGAUCAUGAUCUGAAUUUGAGAUAGCUAAUUGGUUACCGAGAUUUUGUAAUUUAAUCGUAGCAUGAAGUAGUUUGAUUCCAUGGUAUCACCCUUAGCUAAGUUAAACGUAUGAAUUGUACUAAUAUUAUUUGCUUAAUUACUAAAUACUAAUUGUCUCAGUAGGUGAUGGCUGAAGUGGAGUUUUUCUGUCAACUCAGCCAGAUGUAUAAUCUUAGUGUUUCCAUAAACCAUGUAACAGUAUGAGAGGAAUAAUAAAAAGCUGUGCUUGUUUAAACUAAAGUUGUCCAAUCAUCUUUGAGAUUUGCUGCUGCUUUUAAUCUGAUACUGGAAUUUUUCUAUGCACAGUGAUCCAUAUUGCUAGUUGAUUUGAUCAUGCUUAAAGGAAAACGGAAUCGCGACUUAUGGCUGCCAUGUAUGCCAAAUUUUGUUGAUCUUGAUGACUUGAAAACCGGUAUUGUUACAAUAAAUGUAGCAACUACCUAGGAAACAAGGUGAGUGUGGACGCUUUAAUGCUAAAAUUAUUGAAUGUAGAUUAGGUGUUUUCCAGAAGAGAAUACUUAAGAUUAUCUGUUUCUCAUAAGAUAAUGCUUGAAAGUUGCAGUUGUUAAAGAGACGUCUUGAUACUUCAGUAGGAGAAGCAGUCAUCAGAAACGUUGUUGUCUUCCAGAAAAUUGCAAUGCUGGCCUCUUGAGUAACCAACAUUCUCCUUUUACAUUUUCAAACCUGUUCUGAACCAGUCCUCUGCAUGCUUCUGUUUCAACUACUUGAAGCGUAAGAGGCCAUGGUUAGCUCAGACAUUUAGUAACAGAUAAUGCCAUGAAAAGGAAAAGAUAACGAUGCAUUAUCAUUGCACCGAAUGCAAAAAUUAACUGGAGAAUGGGAUUGUUUCGUUGUCCAUAAUUGACUAAAUAAUCAGUGCAACAAGUGUCUUUAUCAACUACCAGAGUUUGAUUGGGAUUUUCAGUAGUUUUAACUACCAAGAACAGAAAUAUUGGAGGAUCAGUUUUGACUAGAACCAUUUUCUGAAGAAGUCCAUCUUUUACAUAGUACUUAUUAUAAAGACAACCUUCGUACGUCAAUCCUAAAAGUCAAUCAACAUUUGCGUCGAAGAACUAUUUUACCGAUCAACACGUCUAAUCGUUAAAAUUAAUCUUAUAUACGCUAAUAGUCUAUACACUAUUAUCGCUAGUUGCAUGACACACAAACAAAUUUUGGAUUUCAAAUUCAGAUUAAUUAUCAUGCAUCCAAUAAUAAUAGCAUGAACACUGUCAAUGUAUAGAAGUUUAAUCCUAAUUGUCAUACAUGGGUCAUUUAACUCCUCACCAAAUGCCAAUUUAAAUUAGUCACUUCAAGGAGUUAUAUCGCGCCUCAUCAUUUGGUUGUACGGAGUGCAAAACUCUUUGAAAUUUCAAAGAGAUGCCGCUUCCAAAUCAGUUAGCUUAUCGUGCACAGUGCCAGAGUUUAAAAUGUCUUCAAUAUAGUAGUUGGCAGUAGUCAUAAGUUGGAAGUAGUCCUAGCCCGGACAUAAAUGAGAGAAGUUGAACCAGCUGCGCCAAUUGUGUUUGUGUACAGCAAUUACCAAGUCAGUAGAUUUGGAAACCAACUCUGGUUGAUCUUUCUUGCUCUUCAUUCUCUUCGAUUUUGUAUGUUCAAAUUUUCAUUGCUUUUCCUUUUUGUGGCUAGAAGAGAAUGAUGUCAUGCUAAUGACGACGUCCUUUCAUGAAAUACAUUUGUCUGCUGUUCCUAGUAAGUUCUCAUGCAGUCAUGCUCAUGGCUCUCGUUCGACAUGGUCUCCACACGAGUUGAGAAAAUUCAAACACAUUUACCAGUAGGGCUUUUACCAGUUUCAGAUAAUCUAGGUUAACCCAGCUGCUUAAUCAGGGAAAAGAGUUUACAAGGUUUAUUAUUGAGCAGAUUACCAAAGAGGGUCUACGUUUCUGUGACAUUAUAGAUUGGCUAUUAUUAUUAUUAUUUUAUAAGUAGGAGGUUUUGAAUUCAGAAUUUUAUACUUACGAUCUCUUUCAUCUUACUAUCCAACCCGAUCUUACCCCAAUUUGUACCAAUACAUGAAUUCAAACACUUUAAUAAAAACGAGUACACGAAUAAGAGCAUUUACCAAUUCUACUUGGCGAACACCACAAAAGACUCACUCAAAACUCAGAAUAGAUUAGGAGGAUAGUACAUUCAAAGUGAACUUUCUAAUUAAUGAUAAGUCUUACAUCAACUUCAACUUCCCUCCGGGUAAUUUUUCAAUUAAUGGAAAACAAAUGAAAACGUGCUCUAAUUACAUGACUGCUCUUCGAUUUUUCGUCUUGGGCCCGAUUUUAUUGGUCCUAAUAAUAUGUUGUUAUGCACUUUGUGUUUGCUAAUACUCUACCAGGAUUAUGCAAGUCUAGGAAACAAAUUGCCAUUUUGAAACUUUUAAUAAAUGAUUGAUGCUACAUUAGCUAAUUAGGACUCGGGGCAGGGACGGUUACAGGUGCAACCGUCCCUGGCAAAUUCCCUCUUCAUCAACAGCGCGUAACUUCUUUUGUUCACCGUGUAACUUUUUUUCCACAGAUUGUAUUUUCACAACACAUAGUGGUGGGCCCCACACUUGACGCGAAAAUCGAGUUACCACUUGUUAUCUGAGCCGCACAUUUUUUCAUGGUCCAAUCUGGACCAUGAACCGUAUGACCGUCCCUGCCCCAAAUCCAGCUAAUUAUUAUUGAAUUCAAACUUGACCGUGUGUGAGCUUUUUUAACUACUCCCUCUAUGCUAAUAAAUAUUCAAGUCAUCAUUUGCGGGUUAACUAGCAAUAUUGUUGAGCUGUAAUUUGUUUGUAAUACUUCUACCUCGAAGGUUCCUUCCAUAACCUUAUCAUAAAAAAAAAAAAAAAAUUUCAAAAAUUAAGAAAAAAAAAAAGAAGAAGAAAUAGUUGACCAUACUUGUGAUAGUUUUUUCCUAAUCACUUUUGUUUACGCAGCUAAUUAUCCGAAUUGUAAUCCUCUCCUUGGAUUCCAUCAUACCAAUCAAAAAAAGUCCCCAACAAGGUGCUUUCAUUGUCAUUGACUAAUCCACAUAUAUUUAGUCGAAAUUCCGACUGAAUAUACUACUGUUAACUCAGUCAUCUCAGUUUCAUAAGUAUUCUUAGGUCCAAGAUUUUUUUUAUUAUUCAAUUUAAUUCUUAGGUCUAAGGUGCUUACACCAGUGCCAAUAUUUAUUUAGUUUUUUUUUCAUGAUCUCUGGUGAAUGACAGCUGACGGCUGCUACCAUUUUUUACUUUUAGGUCAUGACACAAUCUUUUUCUGUAGGAAAAAUCUUCCUCCUGCUUUCCACUAAAGAAGCAUCAAUGCAGCUGCUCAUUAGUCAACAAGUAGCUACGUUUGCACUAAAUCACUUUCAUUAUUUGCCUGUAAAACACUUUCAUUAGUAUUCCAUUAUGUUACGGUAUCCCAAUUGAAGAGGUCGCUUUCUUGCUGAUAUUUUUUGAAAGUAAAAACCAAAACUAUGACUUUGGGAUGAAUUGACACCAUACUACGUCGGCAGCAAUUGUCCUUAGCGAUCUAUGUUUUUGGUAUUUGGUUAUUAGCAAGGGUUGCCGGCUUUUGAAGUAAAUAUUUGGGAUUCAGGGUUAGUAAUUUAAUUUUGAUUUCUUCGUUGAAAGAUCUAUGUUUUCGGUAGUUCUUAUUUGUGUUUUAUUAAUCAUUAUGUUCAUCAACUUUGGCAUCAUUUUUCCCUUCUCUUUCCCUGCUUCUUAAAUUCUCCGACCCUUCUCUGCGAGAAUUAAAAAAAAAAAAAAAGAAAACUCCAAUCUCAUUUUCUUGCUAAAAAAGAAAAAAUUAUGAAAACUACAUUUGUUUGAUGAUCCAAAAAAAAAGAAAAGAGAGAGAGAAUUACAUUUAUUUUGUACCCCAAGUAUAGUUGGCAAAAAAUAUUGAAGGGAUAUCAAGUGGUGCUUAGUUUGUUUGUUAGCCCCCAAAAAAAAAAAAACAGAAUGAAAAGAUGCCAAGUCGGACAAAUUAAUCAAUGACAUUAGCGACCGGGAUAUGCUUGAUUAAUUAGCACAUAUUAUGUGUAAGUGAUGGUAAUUGUUUAUAUUCUUUGCUUAUCUUGCUUAUUAAUUGUGGCUAAAACAUGGAAUUAAUCCCUCUCGUCAUUUUGGAGGAUACCAAGUUGUGCUUAUAAACUUUCGUCAAAAAUUUGAGGGAGAUUAGUUUAACUUAAUUAUGUUCUUGGCAAUUCUAGCUAUCAAAUUUGACUUACUUAUGCUCUCUCUCAUUAAUUAAUGGCAUACAUAAUUAGUUAGGCUCAAGGUUGAGGUAAAUGUCAUGUACUUUAUUUUAUAUUAACAUCGUUGAACGAUCAAUUAUCAAAACCGUCAAAAGUUUUUAGCUGACCAUUCAUCUUUAAAACCAUUCAGAUGAAGUCAAAUAAAAAAGAUCAACAUUCCAAUUACCAGAUUAUUUUCUUAAUUGUUAAGUUCCUAUAAAGCUAUAGAGGAGGCCUUAAUUAGUCUAAUGACUAAGGCUAAGAUUUCAAAACUUAGACGUACUCUUGGGUUAAUUUUAAUCUCCCUUCUCCCUUCCCAUUUCUCAAACUCCAUCCUUCCCGUGCUAUUAAAAAAAAAAAAUCCUAUAAAGCUCAUAAACUUACAGUAAUUACUUUUCUCUUUGUUUUUCUUUUUUAUGUGGUGAGCACUAAGAAGGGUUUACUUUGAAAUAUUUAUAUAAAUACUCAAUUAAACUUCCUUUCUGAAGUCUCCGGAGUUUGCUUUGGUUUUUAAUCUAAUCUUAUCCAACUGCUAUUAUGUAAAGAUUUUUCUUAUGUAAUAUUGAUCAAUUAUGACCGUUUAUAUAUCAUAUCUGGAUUGUUCUUAGAAAAUAAACAGGUUGUGCUUAUAUUUUAUGCCUCAAAAGUUCACCAGUAAAAAUCACCAACCUUCAUAUUUAUUUUCUAGUUCAAAGUUAAACACAAGAAUGAAGAAAAGUAGAUCCAUUAUACAAUACCGUAUAGUUUUAUAUCCAGUACUAAGUAUUACGAGUUUCAUUUAAAAUUGCUAAUUAUAAAUGAAGUUCUCAUGAUUUUUGUCAAGAAAUUCUUUGUUAAGUAUAAAUGAAGUUCUUCAAGAAAAUCUCUGAUAAGUAGAACCCAAAUUUCUAAGUAAAUUUUUUGAAUGGGAAAAUGUGUUCAGUACCUUGAGCCUUUCCAACAACAUUAUGACGCAAUGACAUAUAUCGUAGAUACAAAUUGAAUUAUAUAUUUCUUUCCAUUCCGUCUGUAUUACCAAAAGAAACUCCUCGCAAAGGAAAAAUAUUUGUAACCUUAACAAAACACAAGUAAUUUUUUUUUUCUGUAAGCGACUUAUGAUUCCAAAAAUAUGAUAUGACCUAUGGUGGUACUUGAGUUUAAAUUUAUCCAAACAUUUUUUCUUAACAAAAAAAAAAAAAAGCGAGACAACAAAAUGUUAGAUAAAGGUCACAUAAUCGAAUAAGUCGAAUUUUUAUCUUCCAUCAAUUGUGACUUAUAUGUGACACUUUUCACAUUCAGCGGGUGCCAAAAGGAAUCCGUCUAAUUUAGAGAUGAUUUAGUCCCUUCUUCGAUUCUCAAUGACUCAGUCGAGUCUAUCUCCUUCUUACUAUGAACCUAGGAACAGGAGUAGUUGUAAUUGUAUUUCGUUGAUAUUUGAUUUUAUAUAUAUAUAUAUAUAUAUAUAUAUAUAUAUAUAUAUAUAUAUAUAUAAAGAAGUCAAAACUAGGUAAGCACAGACGUACAAGCCGCAAAACGUGUGGUGUUGAAACGAAAGCAGCCCAAAACAUUGACUCUGACCAACAUCAAUUCUCCCCCAAAAUCCACAAAUGUUUUUGUUUGCAUGCACCACAAAUGUCUUUUCAGCUUUUCUCUCAAGUUCGUGCUAAACUGUCAUGCAAUAACAUUGCAGCUCACGUCAAGAUGUUUAGUUACAACCAUGCAACCUGCUGAAUUAGACCAAAGAAUAUAUUCACCAGCUAGGACACCAUUUGCAAAUAUUAAUGCCGUUUUCCUUUAUUUUUUUUAGUUUUAAAGUAUCUAUAUCAUUGGUUGUUAUACACAGCCAGGAAGCUUAAUUGCUUAUCUGCUUGGAUCAUUAGUUUCGUAAAAGUUUUGAAUGUAAAAAAUGUUCUAAUAAUGUUUGAAAAUUAAGACAGAUAUUCAAUGGAAGAAAACCAAAAUUUUAAUUAUUGUCAAACAUAUUAUAGUUCCUUUUUUUGGCUAUCAAGGGAGAAUUGGAGGUCCAAAAAAGAUGUGCUUUUGCCCAAUUCUCCCAUCUCCGACAAUCUGCUUGAUAUUUGAGUUGAAUGCUCAGACUCAUUAACUGUUUUAUGCAGAUAAACACAUGCUGGAUUUAGAGAUGGGCAUUGUAAUCUUAUUAUCAUGAACUUCAACUCAUGAUUCUCAUGAAGCAGCACCGAUAUAUUAUUUAUGGAUGCUAAUUAAUGGGAGGCGAAAGAUUAGAAACGGUGAUCCGAUGAUCCCUUUUAAGUUGGGAUCAUGUAAAACUAUUGAAAAUACUGACUUCUGAAAGAAGGAAAUUGAUCCAGGUGGAAUGCCAUUGCAACACCAAAAACCUACCCUUCCCUUUCAUGGGGAAAAUUUUCAAAGUUUCUAGGUAGGAUAUUCGCCCCAUGUUUUAAAACUUUUUCUCAACAAUAACCAGCACUUAAGCAAGAAAUACAUACCUCUCAUUCCACAAGGGUUUCCCUUUUUUUUUUUUCUUUUGGUUUUAGUCUACUUCGCGAGCUUAAAUGCUAGUAAUUAUUCUUAACUAAUAUUCAUUAUAACAGGUUCGUUCCUAUUGACGAAAUAAAUGCAUGAAGACAUGUAGACGUGUUGUUUGGUACUCAUUCAUUGAGCAAUAUUAACAAUUAUUGUUGUCGUCAAACUUAAAAACCUUAAGAACAAACGAUAUCAUAAAGUAGUCUAAACAGGUGUGAACCAGAAGGAUCUGAGGAAGUAUUCUCCAAGUCCAAGCAGUGCCGAAAUCCAAGUGUUUUUCUUGGCAACAUCUUUAGCAGUUUACAAAAGUCAUAAAACAUUUGACUCUUGUGGUACGGCGGGGUUACUUGCUUCCAUGCUCGGACAUCAAGAAAUGGUACUUGAACUGAUUCAUCUAUACGCAUCUUUGGUUGCCGGAGAUUUUGGCGUGCGGUUUUGAGACCUUGAGUUUUUGUUUUGCUCGAAGCUUUAUGGAUAAUUGGAUCCAGACUUAAUGUAAUGUAUUAGCAAAAGCUAAUUUAGAGGUCAAAAAGUACCAGCUGCUUUAGUACUGUACUCAAAUAAUUAAUGUCGUCAUUUUAUAAGUACUUUCCGCCAGAAUAGUGAAAAGGUAAGAAAUGUUUUGUCUGGCUUAACUUUUUCUCGAUUUUAAACUCCGCUUAUAGUAAUUGCUUUUAUUUCAACUAUUUACUGUGGCAAACGUGGGUUAACUUCUCAAUUAAACUAAUCGAUCACCAACAUGACGGAGUUCAAGUACUAAUCUGGAUGUGGUAUUUUGUCUUUGGAAAUAAAAAGCUACUCCUCAAAUACGAGAGUGGUUCAAUUUUUACUGUCUAAAAUUUUCAUCUCAUAUGAAAAAGAAUUGAGAAUGCAAAAUUUGACGUUCUUUUGGAGCCGGUAAAGUAAGAAAGAUCAAAUUUUAGGGUCUGAAAUGGCAUUUAUUUAAUCUUUUCAUUACAAGUCAAAAAUUUUGCGAUUUCAAAACUUCUCUACAUGCAAUGUACAGAUUUUUGGCAGGCAAUGAACUUGGAUGGAAGUGAUCCAUCACAUGCAUUCACCGGAUACAACAUCUUCCAGUUCUGGUGCAGCAAAUGGAAUAAAACCUAAUUAAGAUGAACUCCGUGCAAUGAUAUUCUGGGAAGAAAACUCAUUUUCACCUUAACCCAAGUUCAUGAUUAGGCCGGAUUUGACCAAGAAUCAGAACAAAGUAAACGGGUUCUUCACCCAAAAAAAAAAAAAAACACACACACACACACAAAAGUGUAAUUAAUUGACUGUCCUUUGUAGUGCAGUUUGGUCUUUAGCAACAAGAUUGCGCGUGAAUUCUUUCUCUUUCUGCAACAAUAAUUUCCACAGACAAUUCCCCAAGAAAGUUGCAACUUGCACUCUUUUUUCUUUUUGGAAGAGGUGCAAGCGAUCCCAAAAAUGGCCAAUUUUGGCUGGCCACAUCCCAUAAAUAAUUCUAGUACUAUACUGAUGAACAUUUCUUCAUGUAAUGUGCAAAAUUGACACCAUUAGCAUCAAUUUAAUCAAAAAGGUUGAGUGUAGUUAAUUUCUGAAAUCUCCACAGGGCUAACGUAAUAUUGCUAAAGUACUGGUACAAAGAAGAGAAAUGUUGAAGAUUUUGGAUAAUGUUAACGUUAAUAGUGUUUGAAUAGAGUAUUAUUUGAAAUAUUAUUUGGCAUAAUUACUGUAAUACUUUUUGUGAUGUGAUGUACGUGAGAUAAAAAAUAAUUGAAAAUAUAAAAAGGUGAAUUGGAAAAUAUAUUUACGAUGCAAGCGAAAUAUUAUUUAGAAUAAUUUAGCAAUCCAAACAACAACGGACCCAAAUGUGUAAUGUACAAAAUAUAAGAUCAAAUUUGUACAAUAUGUAAAGGAGGGUAUACGUGAAUCCAUUUUGCCUGUUUAAAAAUGGAAUGGUAUCAUGAUAGUCAAUAACCUUAAUUAUUCAGACGUGAAUUUCCAUGAACCACACACACUACUGUCUAGCUAGUCCUAUAUGGUGUAUGCAUGUCUUCUGGAACCCUUCCAGCUAUCACAAAGUCUGGUUGACGUUUCAAAAAUCAGUCAUCAGAAACAGCUAUAUGGUUGUGUAUAUAGAAUAAAAGACAAAGAAAAAGGCAAUUGGGAGGAAAAAAAAAAAAAGGACAAGGAAAUAAGAAUUUUCAAAGACAUGAAACUCGUUAGUUACUACUACUGUCUACGAAGCACGUUGUUUGACUGUUCCUGACUUAGAAUUCGUAAAACGCACGUGUAAUAAAUAUUAAAAGGGCCACCACAAGAAAGUUUUUAUAAUAAUGAUGUUAAUUAGGGGGCAAUUAGAGGUAAAAAAAAAAAACUGUAAUAAUGGGGGAAAAAAAUGAAAAGUGCCCUUUUAAUUUUAGGGCAAGAAGUAGUUAGUAGAAUUGGUUUUCCUAUUGCUUUCAUAGAUUAUCCCUAGGUGUUAAAGGUUUUUCACUUAAAUGAGGACAUAUUAAUUGUCUUAGGAGUGUGUGUGUGUGUGUUUUUUUUUUCCUUCUCAUUCUUGCUUCUGUAUUUAAUUUCCUUAUCAUGUUUUUGUCAAGUGAAUGAUAUCAACUGCCUACAAUUCAACAGUCCAAGACAGCUAUCACGUGCAGAAAAUUUUUAAUAUAAUGGUUUUUAGACAAUUUAAUAAAAUUGUAUGGCUGCUUUAAUUGUCUGCAAAUGGUUAAUUUAUGUUAAGAAACCAACUGUAUAUUUGUCACAAAUCAUGGAAGAACGACAAUGUGCAUUUCUAGAGCUACACACAUUUCUAAUUGCAGCCCAAUUUUGAAAGAUUUUCCAACCUCAUCAAGUUGCUCUGGUAAACAAAUCUUUAUAGAGAUUAACGAGAAGAAAAAAAAAAUGGGGAAAUUAAAUGUAUAACUUGUGGUACAUUGAAACUUCUAGCAUGGUAAACUUGUUGGUUUUUCUUACAAAGUGUAGGAGUUGAUUGUAAUUCGUUGUAUUAAUCCCAGAAACGUAAUUUAAAUAUAAUCUUUUUUUUAAUUAAAAAAAAACCUUCUAGUAGAGUAAACUUCAAAAAUUGCAUUAGCUGAGCAAAUCAGAACAUUCAAAGUUUUGAGGCUUAAGAUCGAACAUUAAGAAAACAGCAUUUAUUAAAAGGAGCCACCGCACAAAAUUUCUGGUGUACAGUUAGACUUUGUUUGAAUUGCAUUUUUCUAGACUUUUUGUAGUAGAAAAUUACCGUAACGAUUUGAUAUAUGUGAGGUAAAAAGAUGAUUGAAAAAUAUGUCUAUGAAAAACAUAACAAUUUUUUUUUUUUUUUGAAAAAUUGUAAUCCAAAAUACACCCUUAAAUUAUUACUAGCUAGAGGUGGGAUCGAUAGGUGACUACAAAUUAAAGAAAUGCAAAAGGUCAAUUUGUGUUGUUCUAAAUUGACUGGCUCAUUUUACUAGUUACAACGAAUGAAAACAAUUGAAUAGACCUACCAAAUAUAUGAAAAAGCUCGAUGACUUUUUUUUCCCUUUUAAAUUUGUGUUUAUGGUCAAUUUGUCUAUCGUAGGUUUCUUAACGAGAGUUUCUUCUCUUCUGAGGUUUUCUCCUCUUCUCUGGUGAAGGUUUCUUCCUCUCUUAGGGAUCUCUAGUAAGCGAUUUUAUAAUUCGUCUGUUUUUAUAAUUAGUAAUUAGUCUGUUUCUUGCAUUAUUAGUCUGUUAAGAUGAGAGUUUCUAACUUUUUCCGAUUUAAUUAUCGGAUCUGAGCACCUUGUCAGAUCUCACCUUAACAUUUGGAAUUGAAUCAAUUUAUUAUCAGAUUUGAGAGGAAGCAAUCAGUAUGGUUAGGAGCAUCUUAGAUGAUAUUCGGCUUACAAAUAUUGUGUUAGCCCCUUAGGGCGCGGUCCAGACGGAAGACGCCUCGUGAUAUAUUGUAUGUUAGUAUAAUAUUUCUAUGGAUUUGCUAUUCGGCUUGCAAGUAUUGUGUUAGCCCUUUAGGGCGCGGUCCAGAUGGAAGACGCCUCGUGAUAUAUUAUUGUAUGUUAGUAUAUUAUUUCUAUGGAUUUGCUAUUUUGUUAGAUCUGUAGUAUCAAGUAGUGUUUGUUUUGUACUUGUCGCCAUCGGUGGUGCGCAUGAUGUUUUUUAUCCAAAAAAAAAAAAAAGAAGGAUGAAAAAAUACAAAUGAAACGGUGCGGACUUUUAUAAGAUCUAAUGGUGUCGUCAUUCGUUGACGGUCAUUGGUCACCUCACCCCACUCUUGUAUCAAGGACCCAUUUUAUAAGGUGCAUGUGAUGGUCUUCUUCAAUCUUCAGGCUUGUGGCCCGCCCACUUAUUGUUUUUUUUUUUUCCCAAAAAAACAACGCUUUCUUUUCUAUUUAGACCAAAUUACCCAGGCAGUCAUUGAAAUUUUUGAAUAGUAAAAAUUUGGCCGCUCAACUAUUAAUAAUAUAUUUUUAUUCAUUAAAUUAUAAAAAGUGUAAACCUUUUGCCAUUCCAUUUCAUUCUAUUGAUAACUCUACUGAAUUUAAUGGUCUGCACAAUCCAUAAGACAUACUAUUAGUAGUUACAUUCGACAGUAAAAUCAAAUAUAAUGGUCCAAAAUUUAUGCUUUUAAUGGGGUCGGUGGAUAAAAACAUACUAUUAAUAGUUAAGUUGUCAAAACUCGACUAUUCCAAAAAGUCAGUGGCUACCCAGAUAAUUUGUUUCUUCUGUUUAAAAGCUUCGUCAACCUCAAUUUACUUGUACCAGCCAAUACACAGUACUGGGUUUGUUUGGAUAGAGAAUUAUUAGCCAAAAUUUAUUUGCUUAUAUUAUCAUUACAAUUUCCAACACACCUUUUUAUCUUCCCAAUUACCUUUUUAUCUCACAUACAUCACAUUACAAAAAGUGCUACAGUAAAAAUAUCUCAAAAUUUACAAUCCAAACAGAGCCACUUAUUUUGUAGAAAAGGGAGCAAAUAUACGAAACCCUUGAAUUAGUUAAUUCUGUAAGAAGAUAUUUUGGAAAAUAUGUUGAAUCAUUCUUGUUUCAUAUGUUCAAUUCAAAAAAUAUAUAUAUAUAAAAGGAAGAGCUAAAUUCAUACGCUGCACCUUAAAAUCUCGUCUCGUACAAGUUUCAAUGCUAAUAGUACAAGUUAUUAAUGCAUUAGAGACGUGAAUUUAGAAUCAAGGGAUGUAAAUUUGGGGGUGUAUGUCACCUCGCGCACACCACAUAAAAUUUAAGUACUAUGUAUUCUUCUACUAAACUUUUUAAGUAAUAGACUUUCAUUGUGUUUAGAUUGUAAUUUUUCGGAGUUUUUGUAGAAAAUGUGCUGUAGUGAUUUUUUAUAUAUAUGAAGUAAAAGUGAUUGAGAAAUGUGUUCAUGGAAAAUAUAGAGAUUUUUUGGUGGAAAAUUCCUUUCCAAAGCAAGGGUUUAGCUAAAAUCAACCGUUUAUCAUCAAACAAAUUAAACUCUAUGGAUUCAGCGAAUUAAGACUUAGCACGAGUAAAUCACCAUCAUAUUUAGAAUGAAGUGAUAAAUGUAAAGAGAUUGACCUUAAGUUUCCUAACUAUUCAAGUGGAGUUCACAAAGUGCACACAUUAGGAGAGAAAAGAUGGAUCCAAUUUCGCGGAAGUCACAGGUAAAGACUUUUCCAGCGUAGAUGCUUUUGUUGGACUCUCUCGCUGGUCUCAUAAUAUGUGGAAUAUUUUCACGAUAAAUACCCAACUUUCCCCCCUUAAGCUCUGAGACUACUACAUUUGCACGGGACAGAGAGAGAGAGAGAGAGAGAGAGAGACUGAGACGGCAGCUGCAUUACUAUAUUGAAAAGCAGAGAAAGAAAGAAUUCCAGUAUCCCCUCCUCCUGAUUCAUCAAUAGAAGUAUAUAAAAGUUUCAGAGAUGGUGAGGGCUCCAUGCUGUGAAAAAAUGGGACUCAAGAAAGGGCCAUGGACUCCAGAAGAAGACCAGGUUCUGGUCUCCCACAUUCAGAAAAAUGGCCAUGGAAAUUGGAGGGCUCUUCCAAAACAAGCUGGUAAACACAAAUUUCCUGUAGAUUCUUCUUCUGUUUCUUGUUGUAUUCUUCCACUCACAGCAUCAAUAUAGAAAGAAGUGGAAUGCAAGAACGUGUAAAAACACAUCAAUCCUCAGUGUUCAUUCAACCCUUGUUGAUCCUGGCACAGUGUGUAGAUUAAUUGAUGAAUUUUCCCAGUUGAAGACGUAAAAAUGCGAGUAGAACUUCAAAGGAUUUAAACUUUCUUGGGAACAGAUUAUUGUUUUUGGGAGAUGUAUUCAUAUUAAACGCUGAUAUAGCUAAUUUGUUCCAACUGAUUCUUCUAUAGGGCUCUUAAGAUGUGGGAAGAGUUGCAGACUUCGUUGGACAAACUACUUGAGGCCAGAUAUAAAGAGGGGGAAUUUCAGCAAGGAGGAAGAAGACACUAUCAUCAAGUUACAUGAAACGCUUGGGAACAGGUGUGAAGAGUUAACACCUAGUCAAAUAUUUUUCACUUUUUGUGUCCCUAUGGUGCAAAUUAUUGCAUUCAACACCGGAAUGGAAAGCAAUGGAUUGAAUUCCACUUUUCUGUCAUUUCCAGCAGUCAUCCAGUGUACUGUGUACAUGCAUUUUAUUUCUUUCACAUGCAUCACAACACAUUAUCUGAUUAAUCAUAAAUAGACAAAUACAUGUGGAUUAACAGGAGAAAGCACCAACAACACCUCCUUCCAUUGUACCAAGUCAUGAUGAAUAUUUGAGGCUGAUUGAGAUAGCCAAGCAUUGCUGAAGGUUACAAAAUAGAGGUCAUUGGUAACUAUUGUUAAAUCAAUAAUUAAUUAGUCUUGUAAUCAGAGCUAGCUCGCAGCUUCACGUUUUGGUUUAACCCUGUAUUUGAUUUAAAGAGGAGACUUAAAAAAUUCAGCAAAAGUUUUGAGAUAGAAAGAUUCCCUUCCCAUGUAAUAAAUGGUAAUGGACUUGUAUUGUACUCACAUAGGAUCUAGUAAAAUGAAUAUGAAUUUAUAAACAAAUCCAAACUGUGUAUGGUAUACGAUAAUAAAUGAAUGGCUCCUAUCUUCUUAGGAUUUUGUGUCCUUUUUUUUAAAUUAUUUUUUUUUGUGCCUUAGAAUUUUGUGUCUUAAUAAUCAAAGCUUGUGGCUCGAGCUUUUUGGUUGUCAUCUAGCACAUAAACAAAGAACAGUUGCAGAGCUCGUGCAAAUAUCUUAUGUACAAUUCUUUGUCCUAUUUUCAGAUGGUCUGCAAUUGCAGCUAGACUCCCGGGCAGAACAGACAAUGAAAUAAAAAAUGUCUGGCAUACCCACUUGAAGAAAAGGCUCAAAAAUCAUCAGGCUACUUCUCAGGACAUCAAGAAACAGUCUACCCAAGUUCAAAGAUCAGAUCCCAGAACUCCAGUGAAAAUUGAUGAUCAGCCUGAUGAAUCCAAUUUCACUGAUGAUCAUCAUCACCAAGAUGGAAAAGUUACUACCAGCCUCGGAUGUGCCCCGGUGUCACCACAACAUUCCUCUAGUGAACUCUCAACAGUGACAGAGAACGAUUCGGCGGCCAUCAAGCAAGAAAAAAUGGACUCGCCAGAGUAUUUUCCUCAAAUUGAUGAAAGCUUUUGGUCAGAGGAAUUCCCAGUAGACAAUGCAAAUGUGCAAUCAGGAAUUCAUGAUGGCCUGGCCACUAAUGACAUGCAAUUUCAAUUUCCAUUAUCUCCUGUGGCUGCUAGUGAUGAAGAUGUCAAUGCCUACAUUUCAAAUUUUGAUGAUGGCAUGGACUUUUGGUACGAUCUAUUCAUUAGAGCUGGGGAAUUACCUGAUUUACCAGAGUUUUAAGUAAGAGGGCUCUUCUGGUUGUGUAGCAUAUUUUUAGAUUGAGAAGUUGGAAUUCUUUUUAUCUAGCUGACGUUUUUGACCAUUAACAUGGGUGGGGGGCACAAACAACAAAUUCCUAGGUGGGACAAUGUUGUUGUAUCAGGACUCCUCCAUACCACUGAAUCUUGAUCCAAUUAGGAAACUGUACGUGAGCAGCCAUGGGAAAAGCCAAAGUGGGAGAAAGAAAUAAAGACCCUGAAUUAGGAAUUUUAGUUUGUACACAUUUAAAUUGCAGGACUUAGGUUACGUCAACUUAAAGGGGUGUUGAGAAAAAAAGAGAGUCUUGACAAAUCUGUUUUACCAUAUUGGAUCCUCAUUUGGCUUUCUCAGCUGAGUGCUAUGAUCACAUGAAUGUUGUAGAACUUUUGUAAUUUUAUAGUCAUUAUGACUAUGAUGAUGAUGAUGAUGAUGGAAAAUACUUUAUUAAUUACCCAGCAUUUUAUUUGAUUUGCAAAUAAUCCCAGUUCUUUUUUUUUUGUUUCUAUUUUUGAAUUGUGGAAAAGCUAAAUUCAUUUAUUAAGAGGCUAAUUAAGCUAAUCAAAAAUUGGAAUUUAGGGAUUAACAAUUGUCCAAAGACAUAUCCCCCCCCCCCCAACGCAAUUCAUGCAGACCAACAUGCAUGGCCACCUCCUCAUGGAACUUUAUAUAUGCCAAGAGAAAAGAACAAAACACAAAAGGCAAUUAAUUAAUCGACUUUAAAGACCACGUACCACCACCACCUUUUGGAAAAUUCAAUCUGCAGCUUGAGGGCCUUAGCCAGGUUAGUGACUAAUCAUUGUUUUUAAUUAAAUCAAUGUUAAACAACAUUUAUAUGUCAUACAAAUUAAUCUUAUAUAUUAUCUCAUUAGUUUUGAAGGUUAUCUUGUCCUACCACAGCAUCUCUUGUCAAAGUGACCCCAAACAAGAUUCCUUUGAUGUGUUACCCAACCUAAAAUAAUCAAAUCAUGCCGUUCUUUUUGUUUCAGUUGUUAAAAUCUAAGUGAUGAUAAGCAAGAAAACCAUAUACAAAAACCAUUUGCUGGCUUCAAACUAUCCUUUCGUUGCCUGGAGAUGCUCUGAUACUGGGAAUCUAUAGAUGAACAUUAUCCCAUGCCAACUUUUCUGUCUCGUGUUAUAGCUCUUUCCUUUGUCAUUUGAACACGAAUAAAGCAAUAAAAUUCCAAAAAAAAUGGACCAACAGAUAUAUAUUCCCUUGGCUAGCAGGUCGUAGGAGAUGGGGUGACAAGGCAAGUAUACACACCUGCAACUUGAGGGGUGCUGCAUAAUUUUUACACGUCGCAUUCAAUUUCAUGUGCUGGCAAAAUGAACAUAUAUAUAUAUACACACAUAUAUAUAGAGAGAGAGAGAGAGUCAAAUACCUAAUAUUUAACUUCUUCAAUCAUAAAAUACAAUUUUUUUGAACUUAAAAUUUAACCCCUUUUAGUAUACAAAAACUUUGAAUAACCUCUUAAACAAGUAAAUAAAACAAAAGGGCAUUAAUUAAUAGGUAUAACUGUUAUCAAUCACUAGGAUAAAGUUUCAAAAGGGCAUUUAAUAGGUAGGAUUCUAGUAGCAUUACGUACACUGUAGCUUCAAAAAUAACAGAUAAAUAUAAAACUUUCUCAAUCAUUGCUUUGCAUCGAUUAGAUUUGCAGACUGUAACAUUCAUAUUUUCCUAACAGUUAAUUGCAUCAUCAAGUCUUUUUAUCUUUUUUUCUGAAAAUACUAAGAAGGCAAUCGAUUUAGCACGCCUCUCUUAGCAUAAUAAAGGUUUUCUUUGCUAUUCCAAGAUCGUUGUCAAUAUUCAUUAGCAUUUUUUUUUUUAGUAUUCCUUGUCCCCUGAUUUUGUUGUCUAGUGUAGCUAGCCGACGCUAUCAAUUCCAGGGCUUUUUUCUUGAAAACUUUUAAGCUAUGAGGUUCAAAAAUACUGUGAAUAUUCUGUCUCCUCCCCUGUGCAUGAGGUGGGAUAAAUAACCAAAAAUUUGUGAAAAUUCUGCAGGGUUACUAGAUAUUCUUUACCUUAGUGGAAGGGUCCUUCUACAAAGGGCCAGAACCAAUUUUGCACUGUAGAAAUUAUGAGGUGAAAAAGGAGCAGAACUGAAAGAAAAUUUAUCUUAGCAGCCUAGCACACAAAAGAUUGAAGACUAAAAGAAAAAUUUUUCUUAGCAGCCUAGCACACAAAAGAUUGACGAAUAUUCUUUACUUCUAUAUCCUCGAUUCCUCGUGUUGUCAUUAGACUAAUGCCACGAAUUUUUAUCUACUUACUGCAAACUCGUAUCAGUCUAAAAGAAGAAAAGUAAAAAAGCAAUUCACUGGAUAUGAUCCUAAAUUUUCUUACUUGAACUCGUCUUCUCUAAUUAACUGGUCAUUAUUGUUUGCUUUCCUAUUCAUCAAGUUGUUCUAUUGGUUCUGAUAUUUUCCUAGUCCUUUUUGCGUGCAAGUUCCUCAAUUUUUUGCCAUCAAAUUUCGACAUGGUCAUCGGCCUUCUGGCUCUCAUUUAAUACCCCUCUCUCUCUAUCAUUGAUUUAGCAAAACGAACCAUAAAAGUGAACAUUUAAGUCAUUGACUACUAGCAUGCAUUGUUUGAUCGGAUAGAAGAAGAAGAAAGAAAGAAAAGUAUGCGGGCGACCAAACCGUUUUAAGUUUGAGGAUGAAAGAAUUGGAAGUGGAGAUCAUUAAUGGGUGUGUUUAGACAGUGGAUUAUUUACAUAAAUUUAUUUAUUUAUAUUAUAAAUAUAUUUUUCAAUCACUUUUUUUUUCACAUACGUCAUAUAAAAAAAUACUACAAUAUUUUUUUCAAAGAAAAAGUGCUACAGUAUUUUUUUAAAAAAAUAUAUCUUCUGGUCCAUUUGUCAAUCAAUAACGUUUAUUUAAAGAAAAACAAAAAAAGAAAAAAUAGAAUCACCAAGGUAGAGGUGGCAAUAUGGAUAAAUGGUUCAUAAUUGGUUUUGACUUAAUGGAUGGUGGAUGAAAUUUAUCCAAUCCAUUUAAAUCCAUUUAAUAAAUGGAUCUAAAUGGAUUAAAUAAAAACCAAUUAUCCAUUUAUAAUCCAUUUAAAUAUUUUGGUUACUUUUUUUUUUUGUAUUACCAUUUCUUGUAAUAUGAAGAUACUUUUUUAUGUACUCGUAAAUUUUAGGUGUAGUUGGAUGAGAAAGAUGGCAAAAUACUUAGAUUUUUCAUUUAAGAAUUUAGGUAGUAUUUUGGUCUAAUUUAAGAAUAAUUGGUCUAAUUUGGUUAAAGUAAUUUAUAAAUAAAAUUUUCAAAUGUUAUUUAACCUAUAUCAUAAAUAUAAUUUUUAAUUUUUUUUAUCUCAUACACGUCAUGUCACAAAAAAUUUAUAAUAUUCUUUCAAAUACAGCUCGUCAUUGGAAACUUUUCUGGGUUUAAAUUAAAGAAACAGUUAGGGAACCCAGCUAGGAAUAGGAGGGAAGGUUAUGGUGGGGGACCAAAACCGGGGGGAGGGGGGGCCCAAAUUGAAUUCGUUGAUGCAGUCCACCGCAUGAUUGGGGAGCAUGGAGGACUACACUGUCAUAUAUUUCUUGCUUGCAAGUUUUGAUCAUGAUUGGCUACUUUUAUUUGGUUUUUAAAUAAAUGGAUAUAUGUGGUUUUUGUGGAUAAUCCAUAUAAAUCCAUUUAAUUUAAUGGUUUUACUUUGGUCAACCAUUUAAAACCAAUACCAUAAAUGGAUAAUCCAAAUCCAUUUAAUUAUGGAUUAUAUGGAUGGCUAAAUGGAUUUCAAUCCAAAUUGCCACCUCUACACCAAGGUACAAGUCCCUAACAAUUUCUUAAAUCACACAUCAAAUUACUCACAUAAUCGAGUUAUGCUCAGUACUAAUGAAAGCAUAAAAGAGUUUGAGUUCCAGUAGCAUUUGAAACAAAAAUUUGUCAUUGGCGCUAUCUAACAGGCUUAUAAUUCAUUGAAUUUGAGUUUGAAUCAUGACUUUAGAAUCAUGAUGUUAUACACUGUUUGCGAGAAAAUUUGGGUAGUAAACUCACAUCUUUGUCAUGUCUCCUUCAUUGUGGAACAAGUUCUUUGAACAAAAUCAUUUUUGGCUCAAAAUGCUAACGUCCAACAAAAAUAUUAAUUAGUCAAUAGUUCGAAGUCCUGCAAACAAAACUCAAAAAGCUACUUCACCAUUAGUAGUCAAUAGUACAAAGUUUUACAAAACCAUCAUAUUGAUAUUUAGUCAGUUUGUCAAUUUCAAUCAAAGAAAACAUCCCUCUCAUCGAGAGCUAUUGCUACAAGGGCUCCUCUGACGGCAUCAAAAAAGAGGGACCAGGGGCAGGAAUGGUUGAACGGUUGCAUGAGCAAUCGUUCCUGAAGAUUAUGUGCAUUUUGCACACGACGUAACUUUAUUUGUACAUGAUAUAAUUUACUUUUAACAAUAUGUAAUUCUAGAACAAAAUUUUGUAAAUCCCACGCAUAUUAUUAAAAAUGAGAUACAAGAUAAGAUCUGGACCGUAUAAUUUUUUUUGGCCAAAUCUUACCCGUGAACGGUUAGAAACGGUUGCUUCCUGCAACCAUUCGUGCCCCUCCUCCAAAAGGAGGAGAGCAACAAAUGCGAACGUCAGCAAUUAUGGCACAGUACAGUACUUUGGACCUAAUCUCAUCAGGCUUCGAUUGUGGAUAAACUAUGUACUCUUUGCAAUUCUCGUUUACUCUUGCAACUAAAUUUUUUAUUUUUUUAAUAGCUUAAAGAGACUAAAAUCUAAAGAUAUGUCUGAAAGUAACUUUAGCUGAUUCUAUCUUUCUCGAUAAUUACUUGCCGUAAUCAACUUUUAUGUGCAAUAACCCGAUGUUAAAAGAGCUACAAAUGCUAUAACUAGCCUAAAAAAGCUUGGCUAUGCAUACAUCCGGAUUAAUUAAACACCCAGCACAUGUAGAAAUGCACAAGAGCGUCCCACAAGAAAAAAUGCUUUUGCCAUCUUCAAAUCAGAAUCUUGGAAAAGUCAAACGAGCUAAUGUUGAACAUCCGAGAACUGCCUAAGUCAACCAACCUAAUCUUGGAUAUCUGAACAAGCGUUUACUAGCCAACAAUCUUUUGAUGCCCUCAAAUCAAUCAAAACUAAGUCACCAAGUCAAUCUUCAUUCACGAUCAUCUUUGCUUGAACAAUUCAAGAAAGCAACUGUGUGUUUUAUGUCUUCUUCUUUGCUGUUCCAUUUGAUAUCUCAGUUCUGAUGGUUUUUCUUGUCCCUUGAGUUUCAUCUUAACACAAAAAAUUACUAAUCUACUCGUGGAAUUCAGCUCAUAUAUAUAGACGUUCUUGAAGUUGGGGUGGUACAUCACCACUCUUUCAUGAAAGACUUUGACGCUUGGGACAAUCCUUAAAAAUAGGUUAUUAUAUCAAAAUCGAAUAUUAAUGUCUUAUUAGUCUCGUUUUCAUCUCCCAUGGUGUAGACUUGUUCUUCUUCUUCUUUUUUUUUUUGGUCUUGGCGGGCUAAUUAGACUUAGUAUGCACUAGUCAAGCCCAUCAUAAAUGUUGGAUUUUGAAGCAUUUUUGGCAAUUAAUGCAGAAGAUCAUUGCGCCAUUUAUGUCUGCUGCAUGAAACUUGUAAACAAGAUAGCCGUAACUUAUGUAUAAGUUGCAUGGUGGGUUCUCGACAACAUUUUGCAGAUGAUAUUAUUGAGAUGUUGAUAUGUGCAAGAAGCUUUGAAAAUUUGUAUGGCUGACAAAGAAACUCGAAAGCUUUUGAGAAACAACUCGUUCCAAAACUAAGACGCAUUUAGAAAAAAAAAAAAAAAAAAGUAAUGCAUUUAGCUUAAUUUAACUGCAUAUCUAUCUAUUGUAUCACGUUGGAGUCAUUAGAGGUCCAAACUACUCUUAAGUGAUGGAUGGAUUAGUGGGUUAAUAAAUCAUAAUGGGACUAGGUAAUGAAAAUUCAAAGGAGCCCUCAAUUCGAAAGAAGAUGCCUUUUGGAAGGUGAGAAUCCGAGUUUCCCGUGACCAGAAGCUGACGUCGUUCCUCUUGUGGACAGUUGGGUUAAUUUUUAAGAUUGGGCUGGGCUGCUGUUAGGCUUUUGAAGAGAAUGUACAACCAACAGCAACCCAAUACCACAGACGAUAUUAAUAAAACCCUUCAUGCACGCGAAGGAAUACUGCUAUUGUCUACUUGGGAAGUUUAGGAUAGAAAAGAACAGAAGUGUUAAGGUACGAAGAAAGAAAGAAAGAAAAGAAAAGAAAAAGGAAGAAGAUAUUUUAACGCUGUUUAAGAGUUUAUAUAAGAAAAAGAAAUAGGAUGUGCUUUGAACAUACACAUGCUAAUGAAAAUUCCUUCAAUAUACAUUUGAGGAUAAAUUAGAUGCUUUGAAAAUUUUUGUUAGAUUUUCUCAACUUGGCUUUCCCCGGCCCGGGAGGAAAACGUUAUCAACUAUAGCAGAGCAGCACCAGGCCAGCCAUAUCCAAACCAUCUAGCUUCCUUUCUUCUCCCUGCUAAUUGAUUAACAACUUGCAACGAAAAAUUGAAAAGCUUUAAAAUCACCCCACAAAUAAACUCCUAAUGAAAAAUGAACCUUGUCUAAGAUUUCAACAACUCUCUUCUGAGACGAAGUACAUGACAGAGGAACUUUCACAAAAAUUAAAAGACAGCGUAUCACGAGUAAGCAGAUGCAUUACUCGUUCCUCAAGAUUGAAGAAUGGCAUUAUUCAAAACUGUAGCUACUUCUACGAGAACCCCAUGACAGCCAAGCUAUCACAUCCCUAUGUAUCUAAUGGGCAAAUUUAUGACAAACAUGAAUAUGCCAAAUCUUUUUCCUCAGAGAGCUCUGCAGCCGUCGCAUCCAUCUUCUUCCUUGAGAACUCAUCAAUUGAACGUCCUGGCACAUGGACAGCAAUGCCAGAUCUUAGUGCCAUUAAGAAAGCAGCGAAAAUGAAAGAAAGGCCAGACCAGAACAACUGAUUAAACUUAUUGACUAAUCAAAAUUAUAAGUAGUCGCCAGUCACGAGUACUUCAUGUACAAACUAUUAACAUCUGAUGCUAUAAGAAGUCAUUUCAAACAAAAGCCAUAGAGCAAAGAUCUCCAUGCUCACCUUGAACAAUGGACCAUUCUCCAUUCUUACAGGUUACUGGGAAGGAAUAUAUAAGCCCAGCAGGCACAUUGUAGGAGCCAUCAGAGUAUACACCCAUAGAAACCCAUGUGCCCUAGAAUGCAGCAUAAACCGUGAAUGAGAGCAGAAUAGGUAUUCUAUGCAUAUUGUUCAAAGUAUGCACGCUAAGAUUUACCUCAGGAGUUCCAAGGACCCAAUCACGGAUGUGGUCACAAGCAGCACUAGCAGCAGAGAGUGCACUCGAGAGCUUCCUAGCCUUGAUAAUUGCAGCACCACGCUGUUGGACUGUGGUUAUGAACUCUCCAUUCAACCUAAAAUUUCAGAUAACAUAUCUUCAUUAAAACCAUGUGAAAUGUGAAACCAAAAGUUGGCAAUGAAUGGAGAGCUUAGAAAACCUAAGAAGCAAAUUGCAAAAACUUGAACUUUUUACCAGGCAUCAUCAGCUACAAGCUGACGAACAGGCUUUUCUCCAGCUGAUGUUUUAACAGUUGCGUGGUUGACAUCAGGAUACUGUGUUGAGGAGUGAUUUCCCCAGAUAAUGGCAUUUUUAACAUCACUAACUUGAACACCCAAUCUUUCUGAGAUUUGACCAAGGGCCCUGUUGUGGUCCAAUCUUGUCAAACAAGUAAUGUUUUUUGCAGGAAUUGAUGGUGCAAACUCCUUCAGGAUCAAUGCAUUCGUGUUGGCAGGGUUAGCAACAACCAAAACCUGGAAGAAAAAAUCAGCAGAAGACCAUUUAAGUUAUGAUAUCUAAAGAGACAGAAAUACAACCGGAAAUCCAAAUUCUUUAGACCAUUUUCAUCAUACAUCAACCUGAUUUGCAUCAAGUUAACUAACUGCCCCCAUUCAAAAAAGUUCAGGAGGACAGAAAAGUUUGAAAAACUAACCAACUGACAUGAUCAUAUCUAGUUGAAAUGAUAAACAAGUUUUUCCAAACAAGUCAAACAGGAAAAAGGAAGUAUGUAACAAGCCCCAACAAUCUAAGUGAAUCUUAGGAAAGGAACCAAAAAUGCCUUUCCACAACAAAACAAAAGCUGAAACCAACAUCAACGGAUGGCAACCAGAAAUCUACAAGUUAUUAAAAAUGCUAAGCACCUUGCAGUUAGGGGCAGCAUGCUGCUCAAGAGCAGAAGCUUGAGACUUGUAGAUAGAAACGUUCUUUGUCAUCACAUCUUUUCUUUCCAUUCCUUCUUUCCUUGGGAAUCCGCCAACCAUGACAGCAACACUGACACCAGCGCAUGCCUCAGCAACAUCAGUUGUAGCAACAACCCCUAGUCAAAGAAAAUUAUAAUUAUGCUUAUGAAUCCAUUUUUCACUUUGUCGGAGUAUUAACUAAUGUUAGCUUUCAUAUAGGAACAACAAUUAAGAUGGCCAGAUGACAAACCUUUUAAUAAAGGAAAAGCAGCAUCAACCAGCUCCAUUUUAACUCCAUUGAGUGCCUCAGCAGCAGGUGGAAUAUCAAGCAUGUGAAGGAUCACUGGCUGAUCAGGUCCCAACAUCACUCCUCUGGCAAUCAUGGGUACAAGAGCAUAUCCAAUUUGGCCUGAAAUAAACCAGCAUGCUUCAGAUCAGUAUAUUUCAUAAUUCACGAAAUUAUCCGCUCUUUUUGAAUAAUAGAAUUUUAUAUUCAAAAGAGCCUGUCCUCCCCACUCCACCACCCCGAAAAAACAACCACCAACCCCAACCCCAUAUCCUUUUUCAGAUUCUUUUCCUAAAACUGGUUACCAAAAAAGAAUCUGAGCAAACAGGGAAGGUAUGCAAUGAAGAUACACAAGAAAAAUCAGGAAGAUCAACAAAAUAAUCAUUCAACUACUAUUAUACUAACAUCAAAUGAAACAAAAACAUAUCAAUACCUGCAAAAAAGGAAAUUUCCUACGGUUUCAAAACUUGUUUUCCAAAAACCAUAGACACGUUGUUUCCAAUAUCCUUUUCCAUUAUAUACGAAAGUAUACAAUAAAGGUUUAAUCUUCUUCGAAAAACAUGCCUUGCAAACCGAACUAAAUCAUUUCAACUACUAUUAAAACUAAUAAACAAAUGAAAGCUAAGAAAUUGCUCGAAUCUUUACCUCUUACACCAUACUUUUAUUUCUGGAACACAAAAAGUUUACUUUUUUACUUCAACAUUAAAACCUAGCUAAAUCCUGCGAUUAAUCAUCGAAAUGAUUCAUGAUUAUCUAUAACUCCCACACACCAGUCACGUUCAGUUUAGCAGGCUGAUCCGACAAUCAAAAUCAGACCGAUGAACAAGCAGAUCAAUCAGAAUCAGGCAAUAAUUAAAGAUGUAGAAAACGAAAAAUCAGAUCUAGACAAACAGAAAAAAGAAUAAAACAAACAGAGCUUUUUAAUCGGGCUACGGGGGAGUGAUUGUUACCUGCGGCGCCGGUGACGAGAACGCGAACGGGAUCUUUAGCCAUUUGAUUCGUCGGUCUCGGGAAAAGCGGGAUUGAAUUUUGAUCUGCAGAGGAGAGAGAGUAGAGAGCAGCGAGUGAUGAUAAGACGAGGAAGAAGGUUCGAUUAAAUACUGGUUCGAUGGGGAUCUAGAACGAUGUCGUUUUAAGAAAGUCUACUUGGCUUAUUCGAUUAUUGUCUUCCAUUUUUAUUUAUCUUUUUGUUGGUUGCCAUAUUUUUUCUGGUGAAUAAUGAGAGAGAGUUGUAUUGUACUAUUGACUUUUUCGAUGGAAGGCGUGGACGGUUGCGCAAACUGAGGAGUGUGCUGCUAAUUACUUUUGCCGUCUUCUUCUUUUUCCUAAUUUUUUAUUUUAUAUAAAGUAUAAACAGAAAAUUUUUAAUUAAGUUGCAUUAAUUGCAAGAAAUAGAGCAUUUAACGUGCCGAAUAUUUGGUGCUCAGGCAAGUUUGGAUAGAAUAUAUUAAACGAACUAUAAUUAUUGUUCGAAUUCAAUUCAUUUAUUUGUAUAAAUAUUCGCGUUCAAAGUUGAAUUUGUGUUUGGAGAUAAUUUAAUUAUGUUUUAAUAAAUAAUAUAUUAUCUAGAAUAAGCUUAAUUGUAUUUCUUGGAUUUAAAAAAUAAACAAUAACAAUUCAUGUAUAAGUAUUAUUUUAGUAAAAAUUUAUAUAUAAUAUUAAACAUAUUUAUAUUUACUUGUUUUAUAAAUUAUCUAUGUGUUCACGAACUAUUCGAAUAAUUUGCAAACAAGUUCAUGUUCAGCUCGAUUACUAAACAAGCCUAAUAUUGUAUUCAAACUUGGUUCAUUUAUUAAACAAUUAAGCUUUUUUUGAUCUCGAACGGGUGGAAUACGAACAUAUUCACAAACAACUAGAUUCGUUAAAAACUCUAACAGGAAAUAUAUCACUGACAAUGUCAUAGAUAAUUUAUUAAAUAAAAUUACAUUAAUUGCAGUAAAUACAUCAUUAGUCAUGCCAAACAUAUUAGAUUGAAAAAAAAAAUCUUUUUCUAAAUAUAUGACCUUUGAUUAAAAACGGAUAAAAAAAUCUUCUUCUAAAACAUGCGGAUUAGAGCUUACUAAAACGGUUAUGAUGAGGUUUGUUUUUAGAGUGAUGAAGUCCAAAAAUGAGACAAUUUUUUUUAACCUUUACAAUUAACUCACAAUAAUGGUGAAUUUAGACAUAGUUCAAACACUACAAAUUAACUAUUAACUAACAAAUAACGAGAUGAAUACUAACAUCAAAAGUCAACAAUUAAGAGUAAAAAAGCAAGAUCAUUAGAGGCAUAAUCGCGUCUUAUUAGAGUGAUGGAGUCCAAUAGGGAAGACGUUAAUUUGUUAGAGUCGAUCGAUGCAUAAUGUUAGACAAUAAGUAAUAUGGUUUUUGGAUGGCUGGGUGAAUCCAAACGGUAUUUUCUACUUGUUGGCAACUUAUAUAGAAGAAGUUUAACUUUCUUUUUUUUUUUUUCAAAUAUAAUUGUCAGUUAUUUAUUAAUAUUCUACAUCCUCAUACUAACUUUUUAAGUGGCUUUGAGUUUUCUCCUUUUUACAAAAGAAUAUGAGUGCAGUAGAUAUUUUUCUUGACAAGUGUAAGCAUAUAUAUAAAACAUACGUUCAUAAUCGUUGCAAUCCAUUGGAAACUUUUUCCCCUUCUGAAUUAGUCUGAUUUUCGAGAUAAGUAAUUGGCCCCAAAAAAAAAAAAAGGGUGGCCAUGCAUAAGUAUUUGUGCAAACAGAAAAAAGAUAUACAUGUAUAAUCACCAUAAUAUAUAGUUCUACUUACGUUGGAAUAAUCCCAUUGCAUGUGGUUCAUGUCCGGAAGAUCACAAGCUCCUUGGAACAGCUUAAUCAACAUUUGCAAUGGGGUCAAAUCAUCACUUUGAUAGUCAUCAGCUUCUCUCCUGGGCUCCGAGUGCUUCAAAAUAUUGGCCAAAUCUCACUAGCUCUGGUCUUCCGACUAGUGGUCGCGCGGAGGGGGAGAGAAAAAGAGAGGGGAAUGGGUGAGGGAGAGAGAGGAGAGGGGGUAACGGGGGAAGAGGAGGGGAGGGGGAGAGAGAGGGACGAAGAGAAGGGCGAGGGUGAGGCAGCAGCACCGGCAAAAGUGGCGGCAAUAGGGAGGGAGGGGAAAGGAAGAGCAGCAAUGGUGCAAGGGAGGAGGAAGAAGAAGAAGAGAGGAAAAAAAAUAAAAAUAAAAAAAUUCAAUUUCCCUAAAGUCUCAUGUAUACAAAAAAUUUUCUAUAAAUUCUACAGUAAAUUAUAAUAAAAUUUUAUACAAAUACCUAAAAAAAAUACAUCAUUCAGUUGGACCGAUUAUUUUUAGGAAGAGAAAGGAAUUAUAUUUGUUUUCAAUUUAGUAUGCAAGGUACUAGAGACAGAUAUAUUUGUGAAAGCAAAGAAUAUAACACGUAUAGCUCUCCUUUCUUUUUACCAAAAGAUGCAAAAUUUUCAUUUUUUUUUUCAUGUUAUCCACAAAAAUAACGUACGAAGGCAUUUGGAUGGUCACUUUUGGGCUUGAAAAUAGAGAGUCAAAUUGAUAAACUUUUCCACUAAAACAGCGUCUAGUUCUAACACUGGCUAUCAUUCAAAAAACUAGUUCUAUGUGUACCAUCAAUUAACAAAUUCAAUUAUGAAACUACCAAAAAGGGCCUUUUUCACAUGCCAAUAUUCUAGAAAAUGAUAAGUUUACAGGCUAAGAGAUUAUGACUUUGCCUUUCCACUUAAUUUUGAGUCAUUUUAGAAAUUUGUGGAACCUCGUGAAUAUGGUGUUGUUGGAAAAGUGUUUUUGUCCACUUGCAAUUGUACAAUAUGUUGAGGAAUCUAAUGCGACAACUAGAUCACAUUGAGACAAUGACAAGUUAGAAUCAGUUUUAAGAUAUAAUUUAUUUUACAGGUUUAAGUUGGUUAAAUAUGAUUAAAGCUUCAAUUUAAUGAAAAUUGAGGGUAAAUGACUUUGAAAAUAUACGACUUUGAAGAUUAACAAAACCAAGGGGGAAGAAAAGGCCAGCGAAUAUUUAGUCUUCAUGCCACAAGAUAUUUAGAAUCCUACAAAUAGGAAUGCACUCGAGUCAAGCCGAGCUCGAGUAUUGCUAUACUCGAGAUCAACUCGACUUAUAUAUAACUAGCUCGAGCUCGAUCGAGCCUAAAAAUCGCAACUCGAGGCUUGACUCAAAGAAAUUUUUUUUAACUCAAGACUCGACUCGGAAAAUAUACACUUAUAAAUUCAGUAUAAAUUAUACCCAUAACGAUUAUUUUAUAAUUAUAAUACAUAUAUAUUAUUUAAAUUAUAUAUAUUAAUUAAUUAUAUCCGACUCAACGAACCACAAGCAACAAAUUCCUGAUUCAAACUCAACUCGAAAGUAUAUUCGAAUAGCUCGAGACUCGACUCGAUCUCGAUUUGACCGAGUUCAAGCCAAGUCGUUAACCAAGCUGCUCGACAGUGACUCGACUCGCUUACGUCCCUACCUACAAACAUCUCAACUAAAACGUCUAAUUGUAGCUAUCCAUGGUCCGUUCAAUAUGGGAGAUGAUCAAGAAUAUCAAAUAGCUGUCAUGAAAAUAAAACAACAAUGAAUACCAAACUGUGGACAACAAUCUCAGUUCCAAGCUAAUUUGACCCCUUUGAAAGCGAAAACCAAUAUAUUUUUGUCAUUUCACUCAUAUACAAUCCUGAGCAAAUAAUCUUAAACAGAACAAUCCACAAGAUAUUGAACAAGCAUUAAUGCCUCACACUUAUGCUUUCAUCUACUAGUUACAACUUACAAGCCACACCAAUACGGAAGAGAAAAAGGAGGAUGAUUUUGGACCCCAUUCAAAAUUUUGGGAAGCCAAAAUAUAAAUGAAUUAAAUGUAACCAAAUCUCACUCUGUAUCUGAAGCCUCAGUCAAAUCAAAUCCUCUUGUUGUACGUCUUAAGAUUUUCUUGUGUACUAUGCUGAUCUGAGUCGUUUCAGUACUAUUAGGUACCACGAGCCAACAUCUCAUGGAAAUCAAUGAUGGAUUGCUCUCUUUCAAGCUUCAUCUCUUGGUGAAACUUGGAGAUGAAAUCCUCAGCUCUCUCAUCCACACAACGAAGGUGUGGCGAGAGAGGGAUUUUCCAAGCAUCAGCAGCACUAGCCGCUGCGCUUGUACUCGUCUCGCCACCCUUGAUCUUCUUUUCAAGAAUCUUCAGACCUGGUGCAGCAAUUUGAUGAUGCUUUUUCACAACAUUACUGCUCGUUGUUUCUUCGAGUUUCACCUUAUUACCAGCUGAACUGCUGGAUGCUACCAUUUUUGCUAAGGAGCUGUAAUGCCUAGCAUGCCCUGGAAAUAGUUCAUCAACAUAUAUAGCUGAAGAACUCCCGGUGUGCUGGUGGUCGUGAUGAUAAAAACGGAGGCGAGAACGCAAAGGGGAACGGUUGAUCAGAGCAUAUAAUUUGCAGGGAAUGAAAACUCGAAUGGAGUUCAAAGUAUGGAUGCAAUAUUUCUUGGUUCUUUUUAUGGCUUUGGAGGUCUUUAGUUUCUGUAGUUUUGAUUGGAAUUUGGUUUUGAAGCUCUUCCACGCCUUCUUAGCGGGCAAAAGCUUCUUAGCCAAGUUGAAGCGGGACAUUCAAGAGAUCGUUGGGUAUUUGGCUAGGAACUUUGGUGAUUGAGUUGAGAGGAUAUCUUGGUACAAGGAAUUGAAAAGAAAGAGGAGAAGGUUGGAUUUUAUUUGCUGCUUCAGUGCAUAAAAACUUAAGGCUGGGUGGUUUCAAGUCUCUAGCAAAGUCCUGGUCAAGGGCAUCUUUGCUCAUUCUUUUCUUGGCACAAAUUGCUUCAUUAAUUCAGGGUGGUAGUACAAGAUGCCUAUGCAGUUCUCCUCAAAUAACUAAAAUGCCAUUGUAUUGUUUUGUACAAGAAUGAAGAAGAAGCUGAUUUUGUGAACCCAAAAUAGAGAAAGAAAAAUAGAGCAUAAUGACUGUAGAAACAGGUUGAAAUUGGAGAACGGUUUUAUGACCUUUUUGUUCUUUGAGUAAAAGACUACUACUAGAGUAAUUAAUUUUUCUUUUGGAAGCGGUUUAUUGAUUUAUAUUGAUAGGAAGAAACGUCUUAAGAGAAUCCAUUAAAAAGUUCAAUAUAUAAGUCAGAAAUUCAAUUAUGAUCCAAAAAUUUAUGCCGUUAGAUUUCGGACCCUUACUUACAUAGUAAUUAUUUUUUUUCUAUCUCUCAGACUAAUGUGAGAUAUAACUCUUUACUCAUGAAUCUAACAAAUGUCACCGUCAAUCAUUCUUUGGAUGUGUGUAAGCAUUUAAGUGAAAUAUUUUCUCCAAUUUGAUUGGGUCGUUAGAACGCAAAAAAUUUACGUGAUUAAAGAAUGGCUUGCUGGGAUCGGGGCCAAGAAAUGCUAGGUCAUUUGUGGCAAAACAAUUCUAACUUUCGGUAGCCUUGAAAACCUUGCUGGCCGAAGAAAUCUUGGGUCCCAAGUAUUGAUUAGCUUCAUAUAUUCCUGCUAAUGGACUUUUUCAGUGUAGUGGAGAUGAGUUAGGGCCUACAACACAUUGAUCAUUCCUUAAGAAAAGGCAAGAACGAUUGAGACUUUAUUUAUUGCUCCUGCAUGCUAGUUGUGAAUCUGAAUGCUUCGAUUUUUGAGCUGGACAACUUGUUUAGGUAGAAAAUUGUGAAAAAAAAAAAAAAGUACUAGCGAUACUUGCAUUGUUUUAGCAGUUAAAUAACUGAAUGGGUUUCGAUCGAGAAAUUUGACAAAAAAUUUGAAAUUCAUUUGAAUCCUCCUAGUUAUUUAAAUUAUAUAGAGGGUAUUUAAAUUUGUGAAUUAGUAAUUAUUUUAGUGUUUAAAAUGUAUCUAGAUAAUUUAUGUCUUUCCUUAACGGACAAGGAAAAAAAAUCGAGGUUAACACACUUUGUUGUGUGGUUUUCUUCACCUAAAAGUAGCUGGCGAUGACAAAAAAGUAUUGACAACCUUCCAUCUUUACAGCCAGAAAAGAGGCACCACCCUUUAUCCUGACUAUAAAAGAGUCAAUUCCUCUUCCCUAUUUCUCGUUUCGAUUUUUCUUUCACAUGGAGUUCUAAUCUAAUAGACAAAUUCCCAUAAAAGAGAGUAGUUAAAAGUCUGGUCAUUGGCCACAGAAAUUUUUCCCUCUUCAUCAGCUGACAGAAAAUAUCUUGACCCAAAUAUAUCCAUCCAUGAUUAUGAUCAGAAUUAAGGGUCAGGUCAAUUUUAUAUAUGGAAUUGAUUGUAGACCUCAAAUUGGUUCCUGGAGCUUGCUCUUCUCGGGGGUUUUUCCCCCAUCUUAUAGGCAGCAAUACAACUGCUGCUCUGAGAACGAGGCAAAAUCCGUCCCAUUUCAGCAUUUUUUCCCUCUGUUUUGCAGGUACUGGAUGAUUCAUAUCCUCUCGCCACGCUAUCUGUCCUGGUCUACACAUACUCACACACUGGCAGUCUGUUAGGUUGGGCUAUGUUUUCAAAACCGGACCGGAUAUCGACUCGAUCGAGGUCAGGGGUCAAUGGAUUCGAUCGGGAUUCGAUAGGGGUCGAACCGGAUGACGUCAUAAAUAAAAAUUAUUUAAAAAUUAAAUUAUUGUAUAUAAAAUAUCCAAUAACAUAUUGAUAUUAAUAAAAGUAUAUUCAUAUAUAUUUGAUGUUUCAAAUAUAUUUAACAAGAAAAUACAAAUAAAUUAGAACAAUCAAAUAACAAUUUAUAUUAUUUAAUAAACAUUAACAAGUUUAGAAUUAAAAUUAUGGAUUUAAUUGAAAAAUAACAUCAAAUUUUAGGACAAUAUUUAUAAAGUAUGAAAUAUUUGAGGUAUAUUAAUAAGUUUUCACAAUUUAGGGGGCCAAAACAUAAUAUUAAAAAAGUUUGAACUUUUUUUACAAAAUCUCCCGUUGGACCGGUUUUUCCGGUUCUGUACCGGUCAAACCCGGGUUUUGACCGGAGUUGACAGGAUUUUGAAUCUCCCGGUUUUGAUGACCAACUCGGACCGGAUACUUGACCGGUUCCCGGUUCAACCGGUUGGACCGGCCGAUCUGGUCCGAAUUUGAAAACACAGAGGUUGGGUUGGGUAUCAAGAAAUUGACCAACAAGAAGAAUAAUAGGAUUUUUACUAACUCAAUAAAGACACUAACAAAUCAAACAGAUAAAUACAAGAAAUUUUACGUGGGAAGUGACCUAUGCCAACCCAUCGGCCGAAAAUGACCUAUGCCAACCCAAUACAAAAGAGGGGUAACAAAAAGAGGACAGUAGAUUUACUAUAAUAGAAAGAUGAAAGAGAGUACUAUAACAGAGAGUACAAAAAGGAGAAUACAAAACUUGAAAAUAAUUUCAAGACCCAAAAGGUACCUAAAACUGAAAUACAAAAUUUAAAAUUUAAAAUACAAAAGAGUUUAAAUUACACAAAAUACUUAAUGGUCUAAAGGCUCUUAACUUUUUUUUAAGUUAUUUUUUUUAUUUUAGUGUAAGCGGGAGGAUUCGAAUUCGAGAUCUCUUACUUACAUUCUCUCUCUCCGUAUCAUCCAACCCAACUCUCCCUCCCCAAAGAUUCUUAACUUGUUAUGCCUAAUCAAAACAUUUCUUAAAUUGGAGCAUGAGCCCCUCUAAACUCUUUUAGGCUAGUGCAUACGGCAUUUGGAUUGAUACUCAUAGCACGAUUAAAUUCACUUAAAUCCGUUAUUUUCCUAACCACUAGGAGAAGAUAUUUCUUUGUAAAACUUUUGCCGUAAGAUACAAAAAUAAACUCAACCAUCUCCUCUCCACACACUCUCGCACACGGCUAUGUCUAUGGUAGCUACUGUUCGAUCCUUCGUACCGUACGAAAAGGUCGCUUGGAGGGUUCGGAAGUUGACAACAAACACUGUACGAAAAUCAAGGUGCCACAUGGUUCAGAGAGUUAGAACACAUUAUUGAAUACACUGAGUUUGUUUGGAUUGCCUUCAUUUCAAAUAAAAAAAUUUACUUCACAAAUUUCAACCAUUUUUUUAUCUUUCCAGUCACCUUUUUAUCUUACAUACGUCACAUCACAAAAAGUAUUACAGUAAUUAUCUUAAAUAAAUCAUGCAAAUAAACUCUUAUCCAAACAAACUCAGCAUGUUUUAAGGAAGGCCUUAUGGGAACUUUUUUUUUGAGCAAAAUAUCCCAAUGGUCCUUCAACUAUUACAAAAUUUAACUUUUGACCCUUUAACUAUUAAUUAAUAAGUUUUAGCCAUCUAAUUAAUUAAAACAUAUAAUUCUAGUCCUUUUGUCAACUUGAACUGUUAUGUUUAACAAAAAUAGCUGGACAUGCGCAACAAUGGCCCUCAAAUUAUUAUAAAGUUUAACUUUUGACCCUCCAACUAUUAACUUUUGAGACUAAUGCAACUUUAGGCCAGUUUCGAGGUUCUGUUCUACAUUUAAAUAAAAAAGUUGUUAUCCUAGAAACUCAGCUCCUGAAUUUCGUAUGCAAUGUCAUGUAACUGUAGCUACUACUCCCCCAUUUUUUUUAGUGGAUUCUUAGCUUCUAGUAAACAUUGCCUUUUUUUAAAAAAUGACUUUUUUUUCUGUUGUUUUAUUGGGAAUUUUAGACUAUUAACUAUCCAUAUGCAUAAAAUAAUUACCUGAGAAACUACUACUCCUUAACGUAUUUUUAAUUUCAUAAAAUUCUUUAACAAGUUAAUUUUCAAAUCAAAAAAAAAUUUUAAAACCAAUUUCCGUGAAAUUUACUUUUGUUAUUUGCAUGAGCGGCAAUCACUAACAUUUUCAAAGGAUCCCAACAUUCGCAAUUUAUAUGUGCGGCUAUUGUGUAGAUCCAUAAAAUUUUAUUUUCACCCUUUUGAAGCAUACAAAUUUUUCAAAACUGUCCUACGAAUUACUAAUGAAUUGCCCCAACAAUAUUUUGAAAAAAUUAUUAUAUUAGAAAGUAAAAUUAAUUAGCACUAUAGUAAGUGGCCCCAAACCUUUUUUUGUUAUAUGACCACGUGUGGUAUCCUAAAUCACCAGACUAGUCCACACGUGUCCUACACCAACCUGCCUAAGCCGUGUGGGCGUUGUUCCACCGGAAAUUCAAUUUUUAACAGUGAUACUCACCUAAUUAGGAUACUACCAUUAGACCAAAGCCCCGAGGGCGAUCCGUAAGGUGCGUACUUUAGUGUAUGGUUAAUGGAGACCACAUGUUCACCUGUAUGUGAUGCUAAAAUUUUGUAAAACAAAUGAUUUUGUGCGAGCACAAGCCGGUAGUGUUGAUAAGGAUAGAUCAUUUUUUUUUUUUUUCAUGAAAGGUUGAAAAGGUUGUGUGUUCGAGUGGAUGAUCAUAAGAAUCCCUAUAACGCGUGGUUUGUGACUUUAAAUUCUUAGUUGCGGAAAUUUUCGAUUCCAAUUCGAUUGUUCAAAUGAGACAUUGUCAAGUAAAUUUCACUAACUCAAGUCACAUAUAAAAUCAAAACAAUUGUCACCCAACAAGAUUAGUGAAUUUGACGUGAGAGGGUCUCUUAUGUCUUCGAUUGAAUUGCAUUGUCCACGACUGCACAUUUGAAGAUAUGGUCCAUCAUGCUAUGGUGGUGACUGGAACUAAAUCCACUGAACUAUUUAUUAUCCGAAAAAAAAAAAAAUGAUGAUGUUCGAUGUUACGUGCCUUCUUGUUGGUUUCUCCUGUCGCUUUACAUUAUGGGGCCUGGUUUUAAUUGAGGCAAACAAUAAUAUGCGGAUCAAAUUAUGUGAAAAAACAAGUUCAUCAUGAUUACGACGACCAAUAUUUGUUUGCACCUAUCAAGAAGCUUGACACCAUGGAAUGUGAUGCCAGCUUUACUGAUUAGAAAGCUCCAUUUUUAAUCCCUGAUGAAGCUAUCUUCUUGUAAAGGAAAAAAUAUAAUUUUUUUUUUAUAGAAAAUGUAAAGAAACAAAUAGUUGAAACGGUGAGUCAACUACCAAAAAAUUUACUCAUUUAUACUUUUUUGUUUUAGCCUUCAUAGAAUUCCUUAACCAAUCUCUGUAAAAGUAAAUCUUACAAAUUACUGAGUCUGUCAUCAUUUGCAUAGUACGUGGGCAAGUCCUUGUGUCGACUGAUAAUUAUAUGAAUUGAGAACCGCAAAGAAUGAGAUCAAAGAUUAGACAAGCCCAGAUAUUGUUCAUGUGAUUUCUCUAGUCUUCGAGAUAUUCUCCAAGAAAUUCCAGGAAAACAACAGGGUAAAAAGGAUCAAAUACGGCCGCGGAGGAGGAGGAGGAGGAGGAGGAUUAGGAAAAAUUCUCGAUGCAAAGCCAAAGGGUGUGGCUCUUGGGAUUCUGGGCAAGCCCAUUUGUUCAGAGGGUGAAGUGGGCGCUCAAACUUAAGGGUGUUGAGUAUGAAUACAUUGAAGAAGAUCUAUUCGACAAGAGCUCUUUGCUUUUGAAGUUAAAUCCUGUUCAGAAAUUGGUGCCUGUUCUUGUUCACAAUCGAAAACCAAUUUCAGAAUCCAUACUCAUUCUUGAAUAUAUUGAUGAGGUCUGGAAACAGAACCCCUUGUUACCCCAUGAUCCUUAUGAAAGAGCACAAGCACGUUUCUGGGCUAAAUUUGCUGAAGAGAAGGUAAUAAAUUCUCCCUUGAUCCUCGAAUCUACCUUUAAUUCAUAGCACGAGCACGAAAAACUAAAAAUUGAGCAUUUCUUAUGACAACCCUUCGUCGUAGCAGAAGUUUUUACCAGUUCUCCACCAAAAUAAAAAAUAAAAAAUUUUGCAGCUCAUGCUCUUAUCUUCUCCCAUGCUACUUUAUAGCUAGGGGGGGGGGAUGAAAGCGUUUUGCUGCAUUAGAAAUUGAUUUUACAAAAAGGGAUUUGAGCUUCAAUUGAAGCCUAAUUUCGUAUUGAUGUUAUGCAUUAUUCAGGUUCGAGAGUCUACAUGGGAUGCUUUAUGUUCGAGAGGUGAAGAGCGUGAAAAAGCUGUAAAAUCAUCUAUAGAGGCAUUGGAGAAGUUUGAAGAGGAGCUGAAACUGAAAGGGACAAAGUUUUUUGGAGGGGAAACAAUUGGAUUCGUGGACCUUGUAGCUGGCUUUAUUUCUUACCAACUGCCUGUUUUUGAGGAAGUUGGAUCCAUGAAAAUCCUUGACUCAUCAAAAUUCCCAGCGACAUUCGAUUGGAUCUACAAUUUUCUCAACCAUCCAGUGAUCAAGGAUGAUUUGCCAGCAAAGGAUCUGAUGUUUGAUUACUACGCAAAACGCAGUAAAGAAAUAUCUGAUGAAAAAGAUUCUUGCCGAAAUGCUUAACAGACGCAUCCCUGUUCUGGAGACGUUUUGCAGUGUUUCACUCGACAAAACUAGGCAGCUUUGUAGAUGUACAAGGUACUUGUGUUGGACCUUUUUGUUGUCUGUCCAAAAUAAAAGAAUCUGUUGAAAUCUGUAUAGUGAAAGGGCUUAUUAGCUGAGUUUUUUUCAUCUGUGCUUCAAGAAACUGGUUGAACUGAGUUUCCUCGAGAUAUGCAACUUCGGUACGGUAAAGGCUAAGUCUGAAAUAUUCUUUUGACAUUUAUUUGCUAUGCUAAUGAGGUGAUAAGUAGUAAUGCAAAUAGCAGAAGACAGAGAUUAAUGUCAAAGUUACUGCCUAACACUCCACUGAAGCCUAAAUCUGACUGCAUGUUGCAGUAAAGCCCAAAACCAUUCAAAACCAGUCUGUUGGCUGAGAUCACUCGUUACCAAACGGAAGGAACAUUUUUGCUAGUCUUCUAUAUGGAAACAUUAACAAGUUAAAAGAAUCAUUUUUCACCAUGUAAACUAAUCUACAAAAAAAUGAGAAAGUACGUAUUCGAAAUUUUUUAAGUAUCUGCAGUAGAUUGAAAGUUAAAAUACUGGAAGAAAAUAGAAAAGGUCAAUGCAAAGAAACAAAAUCCAAUUUGGAUGGUGAUUGACUAAGUCCCAGAAUCAAGGCCAUUUGUUCUUCAUGUCACCAGCGUAUUGCUUGCUUAAAUUCAACUAGAUGACUUGAUCUUGCUCUUUUACAAGUUCAUAGAUACCAGGGUUAUAUUUUGCAGCUUCCGAAUUUCCCAAGUCUCUAACUCUAAAAUAGAAGAAACUGGUGGGGGUAAAGCUCUUAGGAUUCUGCGUAAAGCCCAUUUGUUCAAAGGGUGAAGUGGGGACUGGAUUCAGUGUGAAGACAUAGAAGAAGAUACAUACAAUAAGAGCUCUUUGCUGUUGAAGUUGAAUCGUGUUCAUGGAAGGGUUCCCGUUCUUGUUCACAAUGGAAAACCAAAUUCAGAAUCCAUAAUCAUUCUGGAAUACAUUGAUGAGGUGUGGAAACAGACUCACCUGUUGCCUCAAGAUCCUUAUGAAAGAGCCCAAGCACGCUUUUGGGCUAAAUUUACUGAAGAGAAGGUGUGGACAAUUUAUUAAUGAAUGGCUACUUGAUCCUUAGAUUAAGACAGUCAAUAGAGCCGGGUCAGCCCGAACUUGAUUCGUUCGGGCCCAAAAUCCAAUGAACCCAACCUUUCAAUGAGCAGGUCUAAAAUUGAACCUAAAAAUUAGAUCCGAAUUAAAUAUGAACAGAGAGUCAAGCUUGGGCCUUAUUAGAUUUAAAUUCGAUAUAGACCUGACCCUUUAAUUACCUAUAUAUAUAUAUAUAUAAUGAUAUAUAUAAUAUUAUUUUUUGAUAGUAUAUAUAAUUAUUUAUUCAAAUAUAUUAUUAUUAAAUACUAAAUAUAUACAAAUUAUAAAAUACAAAAAUACAUCUGAAGACUCCUUUAUGAACUUUCUUGAGAGCCAAUAUUGAUAAUCCAUAACUGAAACUAAUUUUUCUUAUUGGUUUAAUAAAUUUUUGUAUUGACACAAUAUUGGUUGAUUUGUUUUUGUCUAAAAACACAAAUCAUCAAGUAUGUUUGGAUUCAAAUCAUAAAGCUAUGAGGAAGUUCCAACCGUUGAAGUUGUAUUGGCUUAUGACCCAUGUUUUAUUACCAUUUUCCAUGUAUUUUGAAUGAAUUAAAUAUAAAUACUGUUGAAAAAUUCUUGGUUUAUUUACUUUACAAGAACUGUUGCUUGUUUAUGUUUAGUUUUAGUGUUAUAAUCUUGUGAAUGUUAAAUUAAUUUUACAAUGUAAUAGUUAUAGUAAUUAUAUUAAGAAAAUUGAGGAAUAAUAAGUGAGAUUGAGCUAAACCCGAAUAAGGAUAAAAAUUCGAAUAUUUUGUGAGUUGAGUAUGAUCUUCACAUUUAUUAAUUCGAAACUCAUGAUCCGAAAUCCGAAAGUGUUACAAAUUAAAUGAGUUGAAUCUGAGCUUAUGAAAGCCCAACUCAUAUAGCCCGAUUGGCAGACCUACCUUAGAUGUGCCUUAAAUUCUAAAAAGGGCAUUUUCAAUCCAAUCCAAUUAUCACUUGCAUUCCUUAAAGUCCAAAUUAAAAAGUAAAAAUAACAUAAAAUGGUCAAUGCCAUACAAUAUCAUAAUUUUGAUGUCGUCAUGCAUGAUGUGUCUCCAUAAUAAUGGUCAAAUACGAUGAUCACAAACUAUAGCUCUUCCAACAAAGACUAUUAAAUGCCAGUGCCCAAGCACGGUAAGACUACCAAGUGUAAAUGGAAGAAAAUCAGGGAGUGAAGCUCUUGGGAUUUUGGGUGAGCCCAUAUGUUCUAAGAGUGAAGUGGGCACUGAAACUGAAGGGGAUAGAGUAUGAAUACAUUGAAGAAGACGUAUUCAACAAGAGCCCUUUACUUUUGAAGCUGAAUCCUGUUAAGGGACAAGUUCCUGUGCUAGUUCAUGAUGGAAAACCAAUACCAGAGUCAAUUGUAAUCCUGGAAUAUAUUGAUGAAGUGUGGAAACAUAGUCCGUUGUUGCCUCAAGAUCCUUAUGAAAGAGCCAAUUCUCGUUUCUGGGCUAAAUUUGCUGCAGAAAAGGUAAUUAACAUUUUUGCUUGCUGUCUUUGAUGAUCAUUACUAGAAUAACUUCCUUCGUGUGCAACUUAAUUUUCUUGAUGAAAAUCAUUUUCAAACUUCGGCUAACUCUCUACCAAUUUAAUUUGCAACCUAAACUAACUUGCCACAUGAUAGAUCAAUGUAAUAGCAGACUAGCUUAUUAGUUGCCAUAAUCUGUAUUAGUUUCAAUAAUCGUGCCUUAGUAUUUUAUUUAAAGAGUCUAUUGUUGAACAAUUGUAUCCUAAGUUAUGCUUCAUCAUUAUGUCUUGUUAAUGUAGCUUCAAGCAUAUGCAUGGGAAGCUCUAUGUUCAAGAGGUGAAGACCACGAAAGAGCCAAAAAAGCAGCUAUGGAGGCCUUGGAGAAGAUGGAAAAGGAGCUAAAUGGGAAAAAGUUUUUUGGAGGAGAUAAAAUUGGUUUUGUAGACCUUGUGGCUGGCUUCAUUUCUUACCAACUCCCCGUGUACGAGGAAAUUGUUUCGAUGAAAAUUCUUGACUCGUCAAAAUUCCCAGCUAUCACAAACUGGAUCAAUAAUUUUCUCAACCACCCCUUGAUUAAGGAAGAGUUGCCACCAAAGCAUAAGAUGCUUGCUUACUUUUCCAACCGACGCAACGUUAUACUGGUUCAGAAUUCAUCAAACGAGUGAUCAAGAACUAAAACAUGUAGGGAAUGAUAAUUUUAUGUCCUAAUAAUGUUUUCCUCUUGAUCAGUAUGUAGAAUGUGUAUUUUUGCUUUCAUUUGCCUUGGAAACUCUAUGUUCUGAUAUAUUGUAUCUACUUGAUAAUCCACUAUAUACUACAAUUUUCAUUCAAAUAAUCAAAUAAAGCAUUAGUUCUUUUUCAUUAACAGUUUGUUAAUCAUCAAAAUUAGAAUAUUAAAGACAGAACUAUCGACUACUGUCUUUUACUGUGAUGAGCACAUAAUUUUCAGGUAAAAGGAGAAAAAGAGAAUGAGAUCAGUGUUGCAUUCCAACCGAAUUGCUGAGUCUUGAGUAUUUGAGCACUUGAAAUGCAUCAUUUUAAAUAUGAUGGGCUAAAUAUAAUUUGAUAGAAAACAGAAUCAUUAAGAUAAGAUUAGUUGUUUUUUAAAGUUAUUUUAAAAUUAGAUAUAAUUUUUAAACAUAUAAUAUAAUCCAAAUAGAAUUUAAUAUGGGUAAAAACCAAGUGGCCCAGAACCCGUUAAUUCUUUUCAAUUAGGUAGGCCACGUAGAAGUGAGAAACAACUCUGAUUAAAAAUAACUACUUUCACACACACACACAUAUAUAUAUAUAUAUAUAUAUAUAUAUAUAUAUAUAGAUGGUUAGUGUUUCUUUUAUCCUGUUCAUGCUCAUGGCUUAAUUUGUAUGACAUGUUAUGAGUUAAGAAGUUCUCCUCUUAUGCAAUGAAAAUUAGUAACUUUAUUAGGCGUUUAGGACCCUGUUUGAUGUUAAUAAGAAAUUUUGAUGCAUCUAAGUCUAAAUAAUAGAAUGCUUAAGAAAAUUAAGCAUCGCUUAUUACUGGGGAAUGCUUAUAAUUUGUAGAGGAAUGUGAAUGCUUAUUACUUUUAUAAUUUUCCUGGAUUUCUCGCAUGCCAUUCUAAUGUAACAUUAGUGUCAAGAUCAGACAAGAAAUGAAGGAAGAAAUUAGGCAUAACAAAAUGGAGAAGUGUUGGAAGAAAGCUAGAAGAAAAAGAAAACAACUAGUGGUUGACGAGAGUCACGCGACUGAUGAGGGUCAACUGCAUUCUACUGUUCUUCCUUCAUCUCCUCAGCAGGUAUUAUGCACUUUUACAUCUCUGCUGUUUAUGUCAGACAAGCUUAUGGAAGGUGAGGCAUGACUAAUUUGUUCAUUGUUGGGUCCAUUGGCUUUCACUUUCAAUUUCUUGAAAGGAAAAUUGCUAUGGUCUGUUUAUCUCUGCAAUGGAACAGCAACCUUGAUGGCUUUUCAAGAGCCAAAACUGAUUACUGAUGGUCGCAAUCUACCAUUGCAUUAAAAUCUAGAUGACACAUCACAAACUUUUGUUGCUUUUGAUAUUUUCAAUUUUUGGGGAUGAUAGAGGUUUUGUGUUGCAUUUUAUGGAGGUUAUUAUAAUAGGCGCUAUGGCGAUUCAGUAGAAUUUCCAGUUCCCUUAGGUUACAGUCCUUCUCUACUCUCUAGAGAUCUUUAGGCGCCGUAUUGAUAUUUUGUGUUGAUAACUGAUAAAGCUCCCAAUCCAACCUCAACCUAUGAAGAAUUAUAAGGAAAGGGAACUUUUCAAAGUUCAUACCUCUUAUUGUGAUUACAUAAAAAGGCGUUGAUAGUUUCAACAGUCAAUAAUCCAACAAUACCGGUUGAAAAAUGGUUAUAAAUGGAUCAUCAAAAAGUUGGCAACAAUGAUAAUUACAUUGGUGGUUUUAACACUGUAAAGUGUAAAACGUGGAUCUGGAAUCAGAUUUAUGAUGGAUAGGGAGUUCUUAUCAUAAAAUGCUGAAUGAGAAGCAGACACUAUUUAGUAGUACUUUUGUUGUCAUCAAAGCUAAUGUCCUCUGGCUUUAUGCUGAAGAGGGUGUUGAUCUUGUGAUAAAAGGUACUUCUGGUGAACAAAUUCAAGAUUUCCAUGACAAGACUAGUAAGAACAUCAAGAGUCCAAGAUGCAAGUUUCUUUCCCUCUGUAUUGUCCUUCAGCACUGAAAUUGAAAUUGUGUUCUAUUGGUUUCUCAUUAGAUUAAUAGCUUUUAUUUUGGUAUGUCUAUACAGGAUAUGGCAACUCCGCCUCCAAAGCACAGAUAUCUGACUUGAAGAUCAAGUGCAGUCCCAAACCAAUGUGCAAGUUGUACGGCUUCCCCCAGAUAUUUACUUCAGAACCAAAUGGGAACUCCCAAAACAUGUUUUGUCACGGAAAAGAGGAGUCUGCUAGAGGCAAAAAAGUACGCCCCAUUCAGCAAGCAGAGAGAUACUGGCUUUUGAACAUUGUACUUCAGAAUUCCCUCGGCAAAUCAGGUAAUGCUAUGUUAAAGCCAGUGUAAAUGCUAAAUUGUUUAUGUUAGUUCAUAUCAUUUGAUUCUUCUAUGGCUGAGGAUCAGCUGAUAAUACUUUCUUCUUUGCUUCUUAUUGAGACUAAAAUUUGGAAGUACUUGGUAAUCAGGCCUGAUCAUGUACUACAAGUCUCAACUGAAUCAGAAGACUCCUCUGCUUCAAUUGGGAAGGACAGGCUAGAAGUGGAAUCUGUGUAAUCUUUAUUGUAGCUAAGAAUAACUGCAAACAUUUGGAGAAUUAGUCUAUGCAGCAAAGUAACUUGGGGUACGGGAGAGACCGCCUAAACAACAUAGAUUAAGUUCGUAUUGUACCUUUCCUUUUAUUUGAAGUUAUUUCAUGGAAGCUCCAGUGAACUUUCUACACAAAUUCUUACAGGAAUGGUGUUAUGUUAUCUUCAAGAACAUGCAGGGUAUCUUGGAGUUCCAAAACUAAAGAACAUGACUGAGCUGUAAAAUCAUCAAUAGAGGACCUGGAGGGAAUGGAACAAGAACUGAAUGGGAAAAUUUUACAUUAAUUAUCAUAGUUUAUUAUUGACUCAUGGUCACCAAACAUCAAACUUCUCGCAAUCAACGCCAGUAGUAAGGCUUGGAUUGCCAUGUCUUUACAUCCAUUGACCAUUUUAUUUUGGAAUUAGAUUCACACAUAUAGUUGGUAGACUAUGCAUGGACUAAUAUACGAUUAUUUUUACAUAAUUAGCUCAAGCAACUUCCCUUUUUCCCUGCUGAGACUGCUCACUCAAAAGCAAAGCCUCCUGUCUUCCAUACUUCAAUUCCUCAGCUUCCUCGCUGGAAAUUUGGAAAGAGCUCCUCAAAACUUCCUCAGGAAUUGCUCGCAAUGCCGAAAGUCUUCCAACGAGUGGGUUAAUCAUGGCAUUGUCGUUCGUCUUGAAUGCAACGUACUCAAAUCCUUCGUUUCCAGCUUUCUUGAUCACAGCAAAGUAUUGUGGCACAAUUAUUAGCUGACCCUGUUUUACUUCAUCGUCAAAAACUUUGUUUCCUUUGUGAUCCACCACCUGAAUUCUUGCAUUUCCUCUAAUCACAUACAGGGCACUAUGUGCAUUGAUAUUCCAGUGUGGUGCAAAAAUGGCAUUCUGCAAUUACCAAACAACAAACUCAAUCACUCAUUUCACGUAACAAAAUUUAUGUAUUAAUGCUAUUGUGUUUGCUUACGCUGUAGAGGAAUCCUCUUUCUGCACUAAGUUGGAGGCUGCUGAGGAUAGGAAUCUUUUGGCUAUUAACAGUGGUAAUGCGGCCAGCACGAGGAUUGAAUACAUCAGCCUCUUGGGGGAGGCCAAUGUUUUCACUAAGCUUCACCGUGCACAAAGUUUCCUCAAGUCCAUUGGAUCUCCAUCCUCUUCCAACACCCUGUUGUUGCUGCUCCUGCUGUUGUUGGGGUUGUUGCUCUUGCUCACUAUAUUCAGGCAGGAACAGUUGAAGUUUUUCAGCUCGGACUGUGCUACCCCUUUUAUCUUUCGGACCCUUCAAUUUCUGUAUUAUUUUGAGGUCAACAUUGAAAGCAUCAGCCAAAAGUUGGUCAUCAAAUCCUGAGAAGAUGUUUCUAUGCUGCUGCUGCUGGCCUUGAUGGCCUUCCUUUCCACCACCCUGUUGCGGGUUUCCGGCUAGGAAAAAUUUCUGAAAGUAAAAAAAAAUUUUUUUUAUUAAGAUGGUACCGCAAUAAAAUAUGCCCAGAAAGAGAUUAUUUUUUGAUUAAUACUUGGCAAGUUUGGAAUGAUAGUUUUCUUACCCUGGACUGCAAAUCAAGCUGAUUAGCCUCAUUGGCAACAUCAAGAAGUGCGACAGUGACAAGCGGAACAUCUCCAUCAUUAUAUGUCCACUGAGUGAAACCAGGAAGCAAUAUAAGGACAUCUCCUUUUUGGAACCUUCUGAGCUUCUGAUGGCGGUCUGGAAACCUUUGCCUUUGCCCUUCCUGACCACCUUUGGAACCUUCUUGCCCUUUGCCCGGCUGUUCCUGACCACCCGAAAAUGAUUCGCCCUGGGAUUCAAAUGUUUCAGCACAACCAGGGAUCACAGUGCCUUGAACACCGGUACCUGCAUUAUGCCAAAAUGAUUAAAUCAUGAAAAAAAUCAAUUAUACGAUCAUUAAGAAGAAAAUAGAGAAAAACUUCCAGAAAUAAUGGAAAGAUGGGAAAUGAAACUUGCCUUCGACAACGUAGACGAAUUUCGGCACGUUAGAGUAAUGAGGCAAACGAAGGCCCUUAGGUUGGACAGUGUUACGCUCAAAUUCCACACCAGCGCACCCAAAUUCUGGAUUAUUAGAAUCCCAGAAUUCAGUUAAACCAGCCUCUGAUGGGAACCUGAAGGAUGGUUCUUGUGCAUUAAGCUUCUGAAUAUUGCACUGAGUUUUACCCCCGAGCCUUGGCUCUGGUCUCCCUAGUUGAGCCAAACAGCCGAGGAA
rnacentral:lncRNA from 1 species